AUGCCGAAACCUAUCAAAUCAAGUCUGAUUGACCUCAAAGUAUGCACACAAGUCAUAAUUGUUAUUACGGACCUAAUCCAACUUCCGAAAUCGGAAUCCGACCCCGAUAUCAAAAGUCCACCCCCAGUCAAACUUUUCGAAAAUCAUCCAAUUUUCCAACGUUCGCCAAUUGAAGGUAAAAUGACCUACGGACCUCCAAUUCAACAUCCGAACAUGCACCUAAUAAUGAAAUCACUCUACGGAGCUAUUGGAACCGUCAAAAUUUCAUUCUGGAGUCGCCUUCACAUAAUUUGAACUAUGGUCAAUUCCUAUGACUUAAACUACCAUUUUAAGGAGUACGUGCCCCAUUUCACUCCGAAACCAAAAUAAAUCCUCCCAAAAAGUCACGUAACCACAAAAUAAAAUAAAGGGAGCAAUAAAUAGGGGUUCGGGGCUAACACUCUCAAAACGACCGUCUGGGUCAUUACAAGGUUAAAGAAUAAGUGAAUGCUUGAGAAUUGAUAUAAUUCCAAGUAAUGAGUGCCUCAACUUUGAAGGUGAAGAAGGGGAAAAGGAUACACGGUGUAUGGGAUUUCAUGAACUUAUUGUAUGCAUUCCAUAAUUCAAACGUAGUCUAUCCUCUAUAAAUAUAAAAGAUGUUGAGUGUUUAAUAUAUCAUCCGCUCAAGCAAUCAGGGAGUCAAUAGGUAUGGUAAGAUGCAAUGGUCGAGAUCUCAAUUCCUUCGUUUGAUUGUUACUAAGCUAUCCUUGUAAUAAUGAACCGAACAACCAACCUUGUCAUCUCUCCUUAGGCCUGGAUGAAGAAAUUCAAGGCGCCUUGUCUCCUGGGUUGUAACAUCACAGGAGACCAGGCGGCAACGAUUACUAACAAAAAUGACUGUGUUAGGAUUCCAAGAAAAAAAAUACAGAAAAUAUGCAAAGCACUGAAAUGUAAUUAGUUUGUUCUGAACCCCUGGUUGGAUCAUUACCUAUAUGUCAUAUUCAAAUCUAUCAUAAACAACUACGUUCAAGAGGGCAAUGGAGUCAUCAACCAAUAUCAGUUUCAACAUCCAAUGAUUGAAAGGGCGCGGAGCAUCUGGCCCUUCAAUCUCUGUAAACACCUCAUUUUCAAAGUCAAAGGAAAGAAUGCUACAGUUACAUAUUUCCCCCUUCAGCAGCCUGUAAUAAGCACCAUUCAGAUAAGCAGUACCAAGGGUUUUUAUACAGUAUUUAAAUAGGAAGAUGUCUUGAUGUUCAGGUUGAAGGAUUCUCCAUGAGUCCUUAGAACAUGAAUAAACGGCUGCAUAAGGUUGAUAGACCUUACAAUUUCUGAUGUUUUCAUAGAAGGUCCAAAAUGAAACCACCUUAUAGUCAUUAGUCAUGAGGUCUAAUACGAACCCAAACUGACGUCGGUGUUCCCUGAAGGAUGGAGCAAGACCGAAGUUGGGUGAAUGAAGGGAUUCUACAAAGCCAAGAAGAUGUUGAAUAUGUUGCCAUCAAUUACUCGCUCCAAUAAAAAUAAGGCAUCCACAGAACCUAAAAGGUACAUCAUACCUCUGAAUUCCUGAAUAUAAUCAGGAUUUUUAUGUACGGCAGCAGCAUCUGAGACUGAAACCAAAGUGAUGGGAUUGGGAUUGAGAGGAGAAUCAUCAUUUGAGGGGCAUCCAACAUAAUCAUAAAUCAUGAUUUUGGGGGGCCUGUUCUUUCUGCUCCAAUUCAUGUGUUCUUUGAUGAAGCUAGGGCUCGUAAUUGUUUCGUACCAGUUCUUGCCGACGCAUUUGAAUUGCAACAAGGACUCGACCGGCAACCUGAGUAGAAUCUCCAUUGCUAGAUCUUCAGGGAAAGGCCGACAACCAUUAUCACUGGUGGCCAUAUUAGAACAGAAAACAGAGAGAGAAAAAAGAUGAUAAAAUACUUAAUUGUGAAGAAAAGAAGUGAUGGAGAAAGGCAAUUCGGUAGAAUGAAUUGAUUGAGUGAAUUACUAGGCACUUUGUCACGACCCUAAUUUCCCCCCGUAGGAUGUCGUGACGGCACCUAGUCUCUUAUACAAAUUACAAUUCUCAAAACCAGUAGUACAAGUCAUAAGCUCUACUAAGUUUGCUAGAAAAUCCCUAAAUACAACUGUCCGGAUGGAUUUAAACAGUAUAAUAAAAAUAUCAGAAGGUGACUCCGAGGCCUGAUUACCUUGAGUCUCCACAGCUCGACCAACCAACUAAUAAUCAACAACAACCGAGGAAUCUGGAUCUGCACAAAAAUAUGCAGAAGUGUAGUAUGAGUACACCACAGCGGUAUCCAGUAAGUAUCAAGACUAACCCCGGUUGAGUAGUGACGAGGGACAGUCAAGACGCCCACCGGACUAAACAACCUGAACAAGUGUGUAGAUGAACUAAUAGAGAAACAAUAUUAAUAUACAGCUAAGCAGGAUAAGGAAUGCAAGACAAUACUUGCAAUGAUACACUAGUAACAACAAUAUUCAACAGGAAGCAGUCAGGUAAUAAUGCUCUAGAGUAACUAAUCACAGUCUAAGUCUGGGGAAACCAAAUAAAGGAAAACCAGCAACAACUCAAUAAGAACAACUGCUUUCACACCAGAUCUGUUCAAGCAUUUCCACGAGGUACCGAACCUCAUAAUCACAGCUCACGGGCCUUAAUUCAUGAACCCUAAUGACUUGGCAUCUUGUGCCUACAUUACAACUCAUAACCGCACGGACGACUCACGUGCCAAUGAACAAUCCUCACACAUAAGGCAAGAAGACAAGAGUACGUAUAAUGGUUAUGUCGUCGGGAUUCAGCUUUUAAAACUUGAAUGGGUGAUUUAACUACGUGUAUGCUUGUGAAGGUGUUCUACCAUAAUUCCAGUCAACAAAUAAGAGUAGAGUCAAUGAAUGGCACAUAAGCAACGAUCACUGCGAAAUGUACGGUGUAACAGAAGCAGCAAUGAAGUUCGAAGCAGCGACUAGUACAACAAGAUUAGCUACACAGAGCUGAGAAAUAGUGCAACACGGAGGAAAAUAAUUAAUAGUAUGCUAAGGAAAAUAACUAUCAAAGACAAGUGCACCGAAAAGGGGAAAUGACAACAAGAGCACUCCCGAGGUACCGCCUCGUAGUCUCAAAUCAUAAAAUGAAUCACAACUUUCCUUAUAUCACCGCUGGAGCCUUUAUAUUUAGUUUUUGAAAAUUAUUUUUCCAAAAUAGCAUCCCGCAUUUUAGCCCAUCUUAUCACACCGCAUGGCUUUUAGUAGUUCCCCUACUAUCCACGCGUUUCAAGCCCACCUUAUCUCAACGCAUGCGUUUCAACACCCAGACCUUAUACCACCGCAUGCGUAUCAAUAACAACAACGGCACAACAAAAAACUCGUGCAACACAAUAACAACCGCACGGCAGAAACCUCGUGCAAUAAAAUAAUAACUGCACGGCAAAAACUUCGUGCAACACAAUAACAAUUUUCUCAACAAAACAUGUAUGCCAAAAACAUAAUAACUCAAAAUGACCUUCACAAUAUGUGCCCACAUGCCACAAUAUUACUUCAAAAUAGUUUCAAUAUCACAACCACGUAUAGCCCUUGGCUCAACAACACUGAAUACAAUAGCAAAAAUAACAAUAACAUGAGAAUACAACAAUUAAAUCAACACAAGAACUUCAAAACACAAAGAAAUGGAAGAACGAACUCACAGAGAAAUACACAACAUGGAAAUAAUAGUCUCAACAAGAAUAGUUCAACAAGGGAGAGGUAAUGCGUAACAAUGAUUCCACAAAAGUGCAAUUCGACAACAAGAGAGAUAGCAUGAAUCAAUGACCCCAAAUAAGAAUACGUUAACAAUGAAAGGGGUAACAAACUUCCAUUAAGGCUAUGCAAUUAUGGGAGAGAUAAUAAUAAUUACAAUUAAAGUUUAAGCAAUUAUGGAAAUAUAACAAUGAUUUCAAUUAAGGUUAAGCAAUUACGGAAAGAUAGCAGGACGAUAAAAAAGGCAACAACUUCAGUUAAGGUGCAUAAGAGUUUAAUCGGCAAUAAGGGUAGAACAUGAAGCAAUUAAUUCCAAUUAAGACACCUAAGGGUGAAUUUAGUAAAUGAAGAAUUUAACAUGGACAAAACAACUUCAUAUUUAAUGGAUAUAAGAACCUAAGAGCACUAGACGGUCAAAUUUUUACAAAUAAUUCCGAGCACGUACUCGUCACCUCGCGUACUCGGCCUUCACAUGACACAAUUAGCACAAAAGACUUGAAUCCUAAGGGGUAGUUCCCUCACACAAAGUUAGGCAAGAUACUUAUAUCAAAGAAGUUAGACCGUUACUCUAAAAUGACCUUCUCGAGUGAAACACCCUCUUGGCGGCUCAAAUCUAACCAAAAUAACUUCAAUUCAUAAAUAAAAUAAUUCAGGAUAACAAAGCUUCAAUCUUUAACAAGAACUAAAAGUCAACCCGAAAGUCAAACCCCGGGCCCGCACCUCGCAACCUGACUAAAAUUAUAAAAUUCAAACACUCAUUCGAUAACGAGUCCAACCAUACAAGAAUUACCAAAUUCCGAUAUCAAUUCGUCAUUCAAAUCAUCAUUUUACAUUUUGAAAGAUUUCUAUAAAUUUACCCCAAAUUACCAACUUAAUUCACUAAUUAAAUGAUAAAAAUAGCAAUGGAUUCAUGAAACAUAACAAGAUUCAGGUAGAGAACACUUACCCCAAUGAGUUUCUUGAAAAAUCCAUGAAAAAUCUCCCAAAACUGAGGUCUACAACACAAAAUAUGAAAAAAUGGCCAAACCCUCGACUUAUAUGAUUCUGCCCAGAACUUCCGCAUUUGCGGACAAGGACGCGCAUCUGCGCCUCUCGCAUUUGCGAGUAAAACUCCGCAUUUGCGGUUCACACUGCAUGGACCAAAAUGUGCACCUGCGCAAAAUAGGGUAGCACCUACGCCUUCACAGAAGCGCCCAAACAACCGCAAAAGCGGCCUCCCUCGCACAUGCGAUCCAUAACACGCAGAUGCGAUGAUCACACCUGCAAUCCCUCAACGCAGAAGUGGAACUCCUGCCCAGGAUCCAUCAUAGCAGAAGCGACACACAGCACGCGGAAGCGACCCCGCCCCUGCACUCCAAAAUGCGCAGGUGCGACGCACAAGAAGCAGACCUGAUCACAAGCAUGAAAAUUAUCUCAAACUCGUUCGAAACACACCCAGGGCCCCGGGGGCCCGUCCAAACAUACCAACAAGUUUCAUAACACAACGUGGACCUACUUGCUGGUUCAAAUCACAUCAAACAACAUCGAAACUACGAAUCGCACCACGAAUCGAACUUAUGAACUUUCAAAUCUUCCAACUUCCAAAACUCGUGCUGAAACAUGUCAAAUCAACCCGGAUUGACGUCAAAUUUUGCAUGCAAGUCCCAAAUGACAUAACGGAGCUAAUCCAACACUCGAAAUUGAAAUCCGACCCCGAUAUCACCAAAGUCAACUCUCGGUCAAACCUCUUAACCUUCCAAAACUUUAACUUUUCCAACUUUCGCUAAAAUGUAUCAAAUUACCCUACGGACCUCCAAAUCCAAAUCCGGACGCACACCUAAGUCCAAAAUCAUCAUACGGAACUAUUGAAAUCAUAAAAAUGCCAUUUCGGAGUCGUCUACACAAAAGUCAAAUUCCGGUCAACUCUUUUCAUUUAGGCUUUAAAAAUAAGAAUUGUCCUUUCAAUUAAAUCCCGAAUCAUUUGAAAACCAAUCUCGACCACACACGCAAGUCAUAAUACACAUUACGAAACUUUUUGAGACCUUAAGCCGCUGAACGGGGCGCUAAUUCCCAAAACAGCCGAUCGGAUCGUUACACACUUCCUCUUUAAUACAUUCCCUAAUUUUUUAGACUUCAAUUUUUUUGCUAUAAUUAUUACUACUACAGUAAUCUGAUUACCUUAUAAGUAAUUGAAUUACUAUUUUACUACCAUUAAGUUCUACACUUAUUUCUAAUUCUAUUUAUUGUUCUGCCUUUCCUCUAUUAUUUCAAUUUAUAAUAUAAUCUCAUUUAGAUAAAAUUCUAAUAUUUAGUUCAAAUACCAUAGUACAGUAUUCAUUAUUUCCUUCAUUAGUUCUAUCGAUUUCAUAAUACACAAAACUUAUUGCAGAUGGCACAUUAUCUGAACACCAGGCCAGCAGUUGAAGUCCGCCUAGUGCAGGUAUAUUGGUUGAACUGUCCCGUUUCUAAAAGAAUUCAGUGGUGCCUUUGUCUUGGGUACAAAUACAGUACUUUUGUUAUAAAAUUUAUACCAUUACUAGUCAAUACCAAUAAUGAAAUAGUGGAAAAAGAUAACCCUAAUUUAUUACCAGAACUAAAACCUUACUCCCUGUAACAAAACGGCUCAUCGGUGUUUUGUUGUGUGGUUCAAUGCAAUGUGCUAUUAGGCGCGCACAUUAUAUUUCUUUGUCACUCACCCCUCUCAUCACCCUGUAAAAUGUUAUGUAAACAAGUAUCUGAGAUUUCGCGCAACUUAAGACUCCUAAUUAAAUAAAGUAUAACGCUUUUUUUUUAAUAUAAAAAGAGUAUAAUUCUAUUCAUGGUUAACAAUGCAUUUUAUCUAGCACGUAAUCGAGCCACCAAUCUUUAUCCAAACCAGAUCGUGGUUACCAAUUUCAACCUUCAACACUAGCAACAUCAUCAGAGCAAGGCUGGGCAGAGUCAACGUAAGGAUGAAAUAACAGAUCCAAAAGAUAUAAAAUUGCCAGAAAUAGAACACUUAGAUUGAAUAUUGUGAUUGCGAGAAUAAGUGAAUAAUUGCCGGAUGGGAAUACAACGUAAGGAAUAGGGGUUUAAAUAGUAAUCAUAUUCGUAACUGAUUGCCUUGUACAUCUCUUGCCCGUUACUAUCAUUUAUUGUAUUUUUUGUGUGAUUGAUUGGUAACUGAUAUCAUAAUAAUGGCAAAUUCGGUAUAAUCCGGGAUUUGUUGGUUCUAUCCUUAUUCGUAACUAUAAGCGAUCGUGUAUACCAGACCCGGAGCUAUUCUCUUUUAAUCAGUUCCAGGACUAAUGGCUACAAUACUAAUUUGUUUAGCUUCGAAUGUAUUUUACACACCAUUGCUCACUUUCUUUGAUGAUACAUGUUGCAGUUUAAUUCAUCUGCAUGGCGAGUUUAUUUUUUACUAAUACAAAGAGAGAAAAAGAGAGCUGUUGAGAUGGAAAAAUGUUUAGCUAAGUGUACUAGCAAGGAAUGUUUCAUUUAUUUUACUGAUGAACUGAAGACAAAACUUCAAAAUUCUGGCACGUGCACCAUGAAUGUACGUGCAAAAUUUUCUAGCAAUGUUUCUUUCCGCUAAAUAAUGAAAUUGCUUACCAAGGAACUAACAGGAGAUAAAUGUUGCAGAUCAUUUAGUGUUUCCCUUUGCACUUUUAUGUAAUAGAAAUCAUAUGGCUCAAAGUUUAUGGUUCUACUUCUGCCUAUUGAAAGUGCAACUUCAGACAGCAGCUUCUGCACCUUUACUGUUCGUGGGAACUAAUGUUUUACCUUUUUAUUCUAUAGAAUAGAAGUGGUGGUUAGCCGCACGGGCCAACCCAACUCUAAAAAUAAAUAUUGAAGGUUAAGUAGAUGCAUGUCUAUUAGCGAUCAGUUAAAAUUUUCUGUAUUUACUUAAUGGGAAAUUGAAGUUUGACACACAGCAUACUCAUUUGUCAAUGGCCUCCAUUAUACAACUCUUUUGAUAAAUCCCAGAUAAUAAAGGAAUUAAUUUCAAUAGCUUAAAAAGUCUCAUAAAUAUGUUAUAGCUCUCCGGAGCUGCGAAAGAAAUUAUUAAAUGCUUCUUUGCGACUUUAGGGUGAAAAAUGUAAUGUUAGUUGUUGCAGAAUAUAAAAGUGAAUACGAGAAAAGGUCCAGAAUAUAAUACUCCAUUGAUUUUAAUAUGUUAACAACCUUCUGAGGUCUAAUAGAUAAACAGUCAUAAAAGCUCUCCAAUCUUUAUCAUUUCAUUUUCAGUUUCUAGCAAGUGACUUAGAGCAAUGAGCUGCAGCUGAAAUUACAUGGCAUUGAAUUAGUUUGAGUUGUCUUGUUUCCUCAAACUGAUAUCUUUCAGUUGCAUAAAUUCUCUUGUACUAACUCUUGCCAUAUGUAAAAACCCGGCAGGACAUAAACAGAAUUUAGAUAUCUAAAAGCACGUAUAGAAUGUUGUAACAAGUCUUUAAUGGAUAAAAGGAAGUGAUAGAAAGGCAACAGUACCAGUAGGAACCAUAUGAAACCUAACAUAAAUGAAAUGUGAAUGCUGGGGAAGAAAUGCAUUUACUCUAGGUCGUAUCUUAAUCUAGCAAUCAACAUAGACACCUAUAAUCGACCUGCUUCCACAUUACAUACGUAUUUAGCUAAAUAUCAACUACUUUAUACCAUCUUAACGAAAUAAAACACAGGUUUGGCCUAAGGGAUUGCUAAACAGGGUCGCCCAGUUGUUUAUCAAAUUGUGCUGCGAAGAAGAACAACUAUUAGCUUAUACUAAUUUUUAUCUACGCUUGUGUAAAUAAUGCAACUUCCUUUUAUUUCAAAGAUUUCUUUAUUCAAGUUGCAAACUAAAUGACAAGCAAAAAUAGCUCAUCAGACAUAUCCCUCAAGAACAAUAACAACAACAACAACAACAACAACAACAACAACAACAAAAAAUAACCCAGUGAAAUUCUACUAAUGGAGUCUGGGAGAAUAGUGUGUACGCAGACCUUACCCCUGUCCGUCAAUAACAAUAUGAAGAAGAUAUAUAUUGUGGGAAUGUCGUUCAAAAAUUUCAUGCCUCUCUACCCUGCCCGACACCAAUAAUAAUAAUAUUGGAAAUAAGUAAAGAUUGUAAUUUUCAAACAAGAAAAUAGUAAUUGAAAGUAGGGAUGGCAAUGGGGCGGUGCGGGUGCGGGGCGGAGCGGAUUUCAACCUAUGCAAUGCAGUGCGGGUUUGGGCUUCGCGGCUGCGGGGCGGGUUUAUUUUUUUAAGAAAAUAUCUUUGCGGGUUGCAGGGCGGGUGCGGGUCUUUUUUUAAGAAAAAGUCACAUUCGGGCCGAAAACUAACCACGGUCGCUAAGAAGGUGUAAUGAAACAUAUUAGUGACUUAAUGUAGUGCUUAAUUGCACUUGCACCUUCAAUGUCGUUGGAAAAUGAGGUAUUUUGUUGGAAAAAAGCAAAACACAAAUAGGUAGUCUAUAUUUAUUAUCGGUUUAAAUUUUGAACUACCAAAAUGGUUGAACACUAAUCUGGGAUGGGCAAGAUGUUACUAACUUCAAAAAAAUUCUUUGUUUUAAAAAAUCAAAUACACCAGCUAUAUCAUGGAAAUUCUUCACGAAUAUAAUUGUGUUAUUCCUAUCGUUUUUUAAUAAAUCACUUAAAACACUAAUGUAGUGCAAAUCUUAAAUUAAAAAAUAUUUAUCUUACUAAAUAGAUUUAUAGUAUUAAAAGUAGAACAGUAAAAAAUAUAACUAAAUAAAAAUAAAAAUGUUUUAUAUGUUAAAUCUUUUUUUAAAAGGGUACAGUACCUUAAGAGUUCAAAAGCAAGAAAGCUAUUACUAGUAUUAAAUCACAUGUCUUAUUCAGUAAUUUCUUGUCAUUUUCUGUUUAAAAGUUUUGAUUGAUUAAAUACUUUGUUGACUAUUCAAUAAGUUUUGGCUCAAUAAUUUUUUUAAAGGGCACAGUAGCUUAAGAGCAACAAAAGAGAUUUCAAUAUUUUGGUUGAUUAAAUCAGAAAGUCCAACUAAAAUACCAAAAGAAAUAAAAUUGAAAAAAAUAAAAGAAAACAAAUAUGUGGGGCGGGUGGAUGCGGGUGUGAGUGUGGGGCGGGUGCAAAUGCUAUACGGGGCGGGGCGGGGCGGAUUUAAAUCUUCGUGGGUUUAUGCGGGUUCGCCCCGCAACCGCACCGCACCGCACCGUUUGCCAUCUCUAAUUGAAAGUUACAAUUGAAAUAACGUGACCCACUAAUAACAAUAAUAAGAUAAGAAAUAGCAUUACCAUGAAUAACCUGCUCCCUAACCACUUGGAAUAGUACUCACUUGCAUGUCUUAAAAUUAUUUAUAAAUAGCAGAAGAUGAUCGAUCAUCCACCACACUAGCUUAUCAUCAUUCACCACAAAUUACCCAAUCCUUUCCUAUACACUUGCUACAGUAGUGUUUAGCUUUGGAGUUGAUAGUAAUUUUUUUUGCUAAUGAUGGUUCUUUGCACCGUUGAAUUACUACUGGUCAGGAUCAAUAUCAAGUUAUGAUGGCUGUACUCCAGUGGCCUCCCACCUUUUCUACAUCCACGACCUUUGGCCUGCGACUGCUAGAGGAGUAAGCUUAACCUGUCAAUGAUGUUUGCCUCCAAUUUUCUAGUCUUUAAGAUCAUAAGCUAGCCCAACCUUCUAGACUUUGUGUUCUUCAGUUGGAGGUGAACGACAUUGACAGGUUAAUCUUACUCCUCUAGCAGUCGCAUGCCAAAAGACCGUGGAUGUGGAACAACUCCUUAGUACGUUGUUGUGAUGACCCAAUAGGUCAUUUAUAGCUUUAACUCUUAAUUCUGUGUUUCGAAGCCCCGAAUAGCUCCGUUUAACUUUUCUCGAUUUACGUGCAUAGUCCGUAUCUUUUUUCGAAAGGUUUCUAUGUGAAAAAUUAAUUAAAAUGUGAAAUCGUGCUUUAAAACUUAUUUGAGUUGACUUCGGUUAAUAUUUUGAGAAAACGGGCCUGGAUCAGUAUUUUGACGGUCUAGGUGGGUCCGUAUCGUGAUUUAGGACUUGGGCGUAUGCACGGAAUCGAAUUCGAAAGUUCCUAACUCGAAUUAUCGCCAUUUGUUGAAAACUAUAGUUUAAAGGUUUAAAGGAAUUUCAGGUUCACCGUAGUUUGACUUUGUUGCUACCAGAUUCGGAUUUUGAUUCCAGAACUUGGUAUAAGUUCAUUAAAUUAUUUAUGACUAGUUUGCGAAAUUUGGUGCAAAACGGAGUUGAUUUCACGUGAUUCGGACGUCCGAUUGAAAAGUUGCAUGUUCUUAAGUUUCAUUGAAAAUUUUAUUCGUUUUGGUAUCUGAUUCGUAGUUCUAGGUGUUAUUUUGGUAUUUGGAUCGCGCGAGCGAGUUCGUAUGAUUUUUUGGACUUGUGUGCAAGUUUGGUUUGGAGCCCCGAGGGUUCGGGUGAGUUUCGAAUAGGCUUCGGAGUGUUUUUGAACUUAAGGAAAUUGCAGGUUCUGGUACAGGUCUCUGACCUCACAAUUGUGAGGUCAGUGUUCGCAUUUACGAACGUUCAUGUCUUCUGUCAGGUUCGCAUUUGCGAAUAAGUAGUUCGCAUUUGCGAAGUAGUACUAGGGGGAGUAGAUCAUUUGCGAUCAAACGGUCGCAAUUGCGGAAGUCCAAGUUCGCAUUUGCUAUGGCAGCAGAGAUGGGGGAUCUUCGCAUUUGCGAAACAAUUCUUACAUUUGCGAGGUUCGCAAUUGCAAACUCCAGGUCGCAAUUGCGACAUCUAUGCCUGGACAAAAGAAGGAGAAAACGGGAUUUAGCUCAUUCUUUCAAAUUCUCAACCCUAAACACCUUGCAUGCGAUUAUCCCAUGAGGUUUGCUUCCUAAAUUCAUAGGUAGGUGACUCUAAUCUAUUUCAUUUCAAUUACCUAUUAUAUUUCAUAAGUUUUCAACCUUAAAACUAGGAUUUUCAUGGUAGAAAUUAGGGAUUAGGGUAGAAUUAGGGAUUUUUGUAAAAUUGGGAUUUAGACCUCGAAUUGAGGUCGGAUUUCGAAUUGAAUUACAUAACCGGGCUCGAGGGUGAAUGAGUGAUCGGGUUUUAGUCUAAAUCUCGAGUUUUAACCAAGCGGGGCGGGGGUUGACUUUUGUUGACUUUUUGGAAUAAGUGUAAAGAUCUUAACUUUAUGUAUUGUAAUUGAAUUUCCUAGCCUUAUUUGAUGUUAUUGAGUCGAUUUUGGUUAGAGUCGGUUGGUUUGGAGGCAGAUUUUAGAAGAAAGGCCCCGGUAAAGCUUUGAAUAUAUUCUGGAGCGAGAUAAGUGUCGUUGUUAACCUUGACUUGAGGGAUUAGGACUUGUUUGCCUAUUUACUACGUGUUUAAUGUGUGGGUACAACGUAUAUGUGAGGUGAUGAGUACUUAUGCGUCGUGGUUGGGUUAAAGCAUACGGGUAGAACUUGUUUCCUUGUGAUUUAUUGCCUCUUUAAUUAUGACAUCCAUGCUUAGAUUAGAUUAUUACUUAUUUGAUUGUUCCUUCCGUAUUUAUGGAUUAAUUUGUAAUGGUUGAGUAUUUUGGAAGUUGAGGUUUGGUAUCUUGGAAUCAUAAUUGACGUAAAGUACAUCCUUUGUAUUAUUUAUCUCCCGAAUAUUUAUAUUCACUACUACAUGGUAAGGGAGGGUGUUAAAGCAUGUAGGGUGAUACCGUACCAUUUCAUUACCUCAUUUAUUGAUUAAUACAUGGUGAAGAAGAGAAUUAAAAUACGAAGGCUGAUGCCGUGCCAAUCCAUAUCAGUUAUUCAUUGUUACAUGGUGAGAUCGAGAGUAAAAGUACGAAAGGGUGAUGUCGUGACAUUUCAUUUCUCUUUAUGUCAUUAUUUUAUGGUAAGGAUGAGAGUAAAAGCACGAAGGGUGAUGCUGUGCCAUCUUCAUACCAUAUGUUAUCUGUCCUCUUUGGUUGAUGAUUUAUUUGACUGUCUUGUGUUGUCAUUCGUGUUGUAGUUAUCAUAUAUUUUCCCCCUUUCGCAUGUCCACUCCCAACUGUACAUAUUAAAUCUCUAUACAUUGGGUAGGUUGUACUCAUACUACACUCUACAUAUUUUAUGCAGAUUUUGUAGUCGGUCACAGUGGCGGUCAAUAGAUUGCUCGGGUUGAAUAUUAGACGAAGACUUGAGGUACAGUUGCUUGGUAUUCGCAGUCCUGAAGUCCCCUUCUACUUUAUCUUAGCUGUGUAUUUUUUUCCAGACAACUUACUUUCAUUCAGACCUUUAUCUGUACUAUUAUAUUAGCUCGUACACUUGGGAUACCAGAUCCGGGGUUGUAUUUAAAUUUUUUGGUUGUUAUGAUUUUCCUAAUUUAUUUCAGUUCCAUAUCAGUUAUUUCAGUUUAGUUGGCAUCAACUAUAUCAAUUGUUUAAAAUGGCUUAAGAAUAUUCUAGCGUUGGCUUGCCUAGUAAGUGAAAUGUUAGGUGCCAUCACGGUCCCGAAGGUAGGAAUUCCAGGUCGUGACAAGUUGGUAUCAGAGUACUAGAUUACCUAGGUAUCACGAGUCACGAGCAAGCUUAGUAGAGUCUGGAGGAUCGGUGCGGAAACGUCUGUACUUAUCUUCCUGAGGCUAUGGGUUUUAGGGAAAAUAUCACUUCAUUUUUACUCUAUCGUGCGAUUUUUAUCCUAUCAUUGAUGAUUGAACCCUUCUAUUCUUGUUCUCUCGCAGAUGGCGAGAACACGCACUGCAUUUACUGUCGGACAGGAGCUGGAGCCCCCUGUGGCAGCUACGACUAGGGGCAGAGGUCUAGGCUGAGGUCACGCCAGAGGCCAAGGCAGAGGUAGAGGCAGAGCUCAGCCUAGAGCUCGAGCAGCAACACCCGCAGUGGAGCCUCAGGUGGAUUUCGAGAAGGUUCCAGCUCAGACUGUACCUAUCGAACCAGCUCAUGUCUCAGAGGGGUUCAUAGCCACUCCAGUGCUUCAAGACACUCUAGUUCGUUUGGUGGGCCUUAUGGAGAGUGUGGCCUAGAUCGGUACAUUCCCGGUGGCACUAACCGUAUCUCGGGCUAGGGGAGGAGCACAGACUCCCGCUACUCAUACUCCGGAGUAGGUGGCUCCCCAGUAUCAAACUCCAACAGCCCCGCUAGUUGCGGUAGUUCAGCCGGUUGUUGCGGCGCAGGCCGGUGAUAGGCCCGUUUUUUCUUUUGAGGCUGUGUUGAGGUUGGAUAAGUUUACCAAGCUCUUUCCUAUACAUUUCAGUGGUGCAUCUUAUGAGGGCCCACAUGAAUUUUUGAUAUGAGGUGUUGCGUAACAUGGGUAUAGUUGAGACCAAUGGGGCCGAUUUUGCAUCAUUUCAGAUGACUGGUUCCUCUCGGAGAUGGUGGAGAGAUUAUAUGUUGACUAGACCAACUAGGUCACUAGUACUUAUUUGGGAUUAGUUCUCACAACUAUUUCUAGAGAAGUUCAUUCCUGUCACCCUGAGAGAGGAGUAUCGUAGGCAGUUUGAGCGUCUCCAAUAGGGUAGUAUGACUGUUACCCAGUACGAGACUCGAUUUGUAGACCUAGCUCCCCAUGCCACUAUCUUACUUCCUACUGAGAGGGAGAGAGUGAGGAGAUUUAUUGAUGGGCUCACUUACACUAUCAGGCUUUAGAUGUCCAAGGAGACCGGGAGCGAUAUUUCUUUUUAGAAGGCCGUAGAUAUUGCAAGACGGAUUGAGUUAGUUCGUGCUCAGGUGAGGGGGCCGGUGUCAGAUAAGAGGCCUCGUCAUUCCGGUAGUUUCAGUGGUGUUUCAUAUGGAAACAGGGGUACCUUUGGUAGAGGCCAUCCUCCUAGACCAUUUCAUUCAGCGCUUCAGGCGUCCCACAGUGCUUCAGGGAGCCGUGGUCUUUACGUGCCUCAUUCUGGACAGCUAGCCUACAGUGCAUCAACACUAGCUCCUAGGGAUGGGUAUAAAAUCUAAAAAACCAAAUUCCGAACCAGACCGAAUUAAUUUGGUAUUUCAGUUUUGGUUUUUUUGGUAUUUCGGAAUAGUUCGGUAUUAAAUUUUUAUUAUUUUGGUAUAACGGUAUGGUCCUCGGUAUUAGGAUCUUGAAAUUUCGGUAUACCAAAAUACCGAAUUUUUAAAGAAUUUCAUGUAGGACCUAUACUGCCCAGCCUAAGUUUUAAUGUUAUAUCUCUACACUGCCCAGCCCAACCCAAUAAGACUAGGCCCAGCUUCCUUACCCUCUUUCCCUAGUUUCACUUCACUGUAGGAAUUAAUAAUUAGAAACCUAACAUAUACUGAAGAGAUCAGCUGUGAAAGAGAACUCAGAGAAGUAAGAACUGAGAAACCUAAGUACGGGAGUGCGAUAGAGACGACGUCACGGCGACUUCACGACCUCGACGCCGACGACUCUCAAGUGUGACUGCUAGUUUCCUCAUUUUUUUUUACCUUCAUUCUUUAAUCUUCAACUCUUCAACAGGUUCAUAACUUUUUAUUCUUCAAUCUUCAGUUUUUUUAUAAUAAUAGUUGUACUGUUGGAGAAGGAAUGUUAUUUUAGUAAAUAUCUCGAAAUUUCUUGACUACUGUAUAUGCCAGAUUUAUUAUGAAGCUUUAAGCACCUAGUAAUUAACAAAUAGAGAUGGCUUUCUUUGCGGCAUCACCUAGUAAACCAACUCACCUAGUCUUUGUUCCACAUCGUAUGAAGGGAAGACAAUUAGACAUUUAAAUUGAGAUCUGUUCAGGUGAGUUGGUUUAGGCCUAGUUCACUGACUUUUGAUGAACUUUACCUCAUCAUUUUUAACUCACUAGAUUUAUAUUAAAUGUUGUAAAUAGUUUUCCAUUUAAAUUUCUCUGUUAUUUAUGAGUAAUUGGCUAUAUUAAAGUUUAUGCCACCUUUUAGGACCAUGUAAAUGAUCUUUUCUUUACCUUUUACAACACAUAAUGUAUUAUACUUAUGAUGUUUACUUGCCUUUUGAACGUACUGCAAAACUUCUCCACUCUGCUGAUUUGGAAUAGCAAAGCUCACUAACAAACUGGAGACUAAGCUGGUACUCAUAAUGAAUGAAUUAAGGCAUGCAUGUAAAUUGUAAUGUGCUUGAAGAUGCACAUAUUUCCUAUAUUUUAUGGGUAUUAGUACGAGAGAUGUACAAUGUACUUAUGUCAUCUUUUAUGCUUGUUGAAUGCCCUAUUAUUAUGCAUAUAGAACACUUUUAGUUUGGUUAUCUUCUUUUAUUGCCAACUUAGAUCUCCCCUAUCUUCCUAUUUCUGGCCAUUCACAUCUACAAGCUUGCUUGAACAAUCUAGUCAUUUUUAUUUCAAUCAUUUAGUAUUAUUUUAUUUGAAUUUUGGCACAUGUUUACGUGCGUUAAUUUAGAGUUUUGACAUCUUUAAUUAAAAAGUUUCAUUUGCGGAUCAGUUAUUGGUAGUUCAUUAUGAAAUAUUACCUUGUUAUGAUAGAUCAUCUAAGUUGCAAUUAAAUUCGCUUGCAAUUUGAAUCGUGAUGAUAUUAGUUCAAUCCUAAUUGGCAUUUUAUCCACAUACUCAUUUUUUCUUAUGUUUUAAAAAGAACCUUGGCAUAUGAUUUGUUUUUUAUUCACCACUAAAAUAAAAACACAAUAUAUAAUAUUACAAAUUACAAUAAUCUAUAUUUAGAUUUACACAAUACAAUGUAUAGAUAGAUUAAUUAGUCAAAUUUAGUAAAUGUAUCCAUUUUUUCCAUUUUAUUAAAAGAAUAAAAAGAAAAAAAAAGCUUUGAUUAUUUGUAUUUAUCACAUUGGACAGGAGAGAUACGUCAGUCAGUGAAACGCGUCUCCUUCCCAAUCGCCACAGUGAUGAGACUUCGAGUUCGGGGCAAGCAAUAACUCUUUGGGCUUUUGGAGUUUGGGUUUAAAAUCUCUUAGCGGCCCCCUUUUCAUUUCGAUCUUCAUCUCUCUACUCUCAUCACCAUCAAAGAUCAGUAGACGCAUUACAAUCUCCUCACAGAUCUGCGGUAAUAGUUCUGUUUUCCUUAACACCAUUUCUCGCUCUCUAUGUUUAUCAACUUACCAUUGUAUUUUUUACAUAUAUUUACAGCUGUCGAUUUGUAUAUCGCUUUUUGGUAUAGAAAAAUGUUAGGGUUUGGGCUUGUUAGUAACUUGUAUUUAGAGUUUUACUUGUUUGCAUGAUUUUUCCUUUUUCUUUUUCAAUUUACAUCCGGUUUAGGCAAAUAAGUGUGGAAGAAGUGUAUUUAAGGUUCUUUUGAUUGAUGUGGAUAUGUCUCGUUGUUUUUAUGUAAUUGAAGCAAAUGAGAUGAAGCUAUUUCUUUUUUACCUAGUAAAAAAUAAUAUAAAGAUUUAGUUACAAAAAUAAGGAGAGUAAAAGUCACCUAUUCGAUUGUUCCAUGAUGCUAAUGAACACGAAAUAGCACCCAAGGGUGUGACCUUGGCCGAAGUGGUCAAUGAAGUGGGAAGAGAACCAUGAAGUCUCAGUUCUCAGGUGAUUUCUUCCAAUUUGCCUAAGCGUUAGAGCCCGUUUGGCUUAGCUGAUUCAAAGUGGCUGAUAAGCAUUAAGUGCUGAAACUGAUUUAAUAAAUAAGUGUUUGGAUUUAAGUGCCGAAAUUGAUAAUAAGCAGUUAAAGUGUUUGGUAAAUAGGUGUUGAUAAGCAUUUUCUUGUGAUGUAAUGACUUAAAUGCCCCUUAAACUAUUCACACUAAUAAAUGUAUACUUAUACAAGAUUUCAAAUUCUAGAUUGAUUGUAGUAUAAAUUAACUUAUGGAUUACUUUUAGUUCCAAAUUGAUUAGAUUAAAUUAAUAUUUAGUAAGUAUAUAUUAUUUUAGCAACAGUGAGCUAAAGUACACUAAGAAGAUCGUUAUUACAUCGUCAAUUUUCAUUACCAACACAAUGCAAUUAAAAAUAAAUAAUUUAGUUCAUAUUUCACAAUAGCAUUUUGAAUGAUGCAAAAGAGCCACAUUUUCAAAGAGAUGAAGAAAAUCGAUUUACAGAAGAUAGAAUUUUUCUAACUCAAAUUAAUUUGAUUGAUUUAUGUUGACGAUAAAGAGCUUUUUGUUGUUCAUGAUGGUGGACAAUAUUUCUGAGAAAUAAGCCCGGGAAAAGAUGAUGGAGUGAAAGUGAAGAAUAGAGUAAAGAGUUUUAUUAAGAUAAAUGUAUUUCAGAAUUAUAUAAUAAUAAUAAUAUGGACAAAAUAGUAAAAAUUUUGGUCAAACUAAAAGUGCUUAUAAGUUAAAAAGUCAUAAGUUGGGGAUGACCAACUUAUGACUUAUUUUGGCUUAUAAGCACUUGACUUAUAAGCACUUGACUUAUAAGCACUUUUGGUGUUUACCAAAUGCGUAGAUAAGCCGAAAAGUGCUUAUAAGCUAGUUUGACCACCUUAUAAGCUUAGUCAAACACUCUCUUAGUGGGCAUAGAUUGCAACUGGUGGGACGUAGCAGGCAUUAGUGGAAUAAUCGAAGUGCGCACAAGUUGGUCCGGACAACCGUCAUAAAAAAUAACACGAGCUAUGCAAAUACUUUAUGUGAGUUUCGAAAUUCUAGCAUGGCAUUAUGGAGGAUGAUGGUAACUUUUUCAAAUUCUUCGUGGACCUAGUGCUGGCAAUUUUAACCCAAAAUUGUUUGACCUGCACUACAGAUCCGUAGUAAAGCCGUAUCCAACUCGGUCAUUUAAAAUAUUGGUCAUCCCGUAUUCAACGCGUAAUAAAAAGGUCCAGUUUGGGUUAAAAAUAAUUUGAAAACUGGUCAAGUGCACACCAAGAAACCAUUCACCUGUUAAGUUCACAACAACAACAACAAAAAAAAAACCCAGUGUAAUACCACAAAGUGGAGUAUGGGGAAGGUAGAAUGUACGCAGACCUUACCUCUACUUGUUAAGUUCACAAUGAUUUUGGAUAUUGCCUAAUAAAGCCAAAAUGAAGUAUAUAGACGUAUAGAAUAGAUUGUACUGGGGAAACCACCUAAACCUAUGGAGUUCUAUUGCCAGUGCCAAAUUUACGUUUGAGGCUGAAAUUGACACCUCGCUUUUCAGUUGAUGUGUUCAAGUAUUUCAAGUGACUUUCUGUUAUUCCAAUAGACAAGGACAAUUUCUUCGUUUUGAAUUAAUACAGUAGAGUUUCUCUCGUUGGAACCGAAGAACAAAUGCCUUCAUACCCAAAUUGGUUGACUUGCUCUAUCCACCCGUAAUAAACUCUUAUCCAACUCGCCCAUUUAAAAUAUGUGUAAUAUGGGUGUAACCAAUAUUCUACCCGUAAUAAAAUGGGUUGAAUACAGGUUAGAAAUGGAUUGAAAACAGGUCAAGUUCUCACUAAAAAAUCUUUCACUUGUUACGCUCACACUCUUUGGGACAUUGUCUAAUGAAGCCAAAGAUGAAGUACAUAGAAGUAUAAGCAGAGUGUCCUGAAGCCUGGAGUUAAUUGCUAGUGCCAAAUUUUGGUCUUCUUUGAGGGUGAAAUUGAGACCUCGCCAUUUCAGUUGACGUAUUCAAGUAUCUUAACCGACUUUCUAUUAUUGCCUUAGACAGGGAUAAUUUCUUCAUUUCAAAUAAAUAGAGUAGAGUUCUGCCAAAGAUUAAUGCACAAAAUUAAUGGUGGAUACUACUUGAGUAUAUGCAUUGAUCCCAAUAUUCAGUCUGAUAAAAAAUAAGGAAAGAUAGUAAUUUUGGUACCUACUGGAUGCACCUAAUUGUGUAGUAGAAUAUGUAAUUAUGCUUUGUCGCAUUGUCGCAUGACAAAAAAGAUUGUGAAGAAUUAAAAAUCUGAGAAAUAUAAUUUAUAUCAACUGUAUCUUUUUUACAUUACUCAUAAUUCUAUUUGCAUGUCAUUACCAAAAUAUACGACUUUUCCUUUUAUACAUAAACCAACAGAAAUGGAAAGAAUCUUCCCUAGUCAAUGUUUUAAAUGUUAGUGAGUUGUACCUUUCUAAAUGACUUCCCUUAUUUGCUUAAUUUCUCUUUCUCUUUGCUAGAAAAUUAGUGAAAUUGAGCUCGUGUUUGAUUUAUUGAUUGCUGUAGAUUUUUACUAUAACGAUGAACUACUUUAGGGUAAAGACGAUGAUCCACUGUUCAUAUCUCUUUUUUGGAAUAGAAGGAUCUUCAAGAUGGCUGGUAAAAAUUCUUGCACAUUGAAAGAGUUUGAGCCAACCAAUGUUGUGAUGGAAAUUCAAUAGAAUGUGUGAGUAAUUCAGAAUAUCAGUUCCAUUUUAACUAUUUAUUGUAAAGUAAUGUAUAAAAUGCGAACAGAUUUUUUUCCUCACACGCCUAUAUAAAAUCGGUCAAACCGUUUUGGCCCAAACUGUUAAUCACCCAAUCGGCUUUGACCCGCUUUAAAUAUGCGCUGAUUAGGUUAUGAUCCAUUUUUGUUCAACCAUUUUCAACUCGCCCAAAUGCAACCCAAUCCGGGCAUAUGCUACCACUAGUGAACAUUGUGUGUUCUAUUAUCUGCAUGUUUAAGAGUAUGUAUCUAUGUGCUUGGUGGAUGUCUCAGCAUAUUUCAAGGUUUUGGUUUUUCUUUUUCCUAUUUUUGCAUUUAAUACGUGAUGAUGUUGUAUUCUUUCGAUCAUUUUGACCGUAACGACUAAUAAUAUCUUUUGAUUGUCUAUUCAAUCAUAUUCCUUUACAGAUAAUAGGUAAUUACACAUUGGGAAGGCUUCAAAAUUAUUCUCCCAAAACAUUUCUGAAGAAAAGGAAAAGGGAAGCAGCUGUAUGCCAAGGAAAUUUUUCUGCAUGACCCUCUUGACAUUUCUGCAAUGUCAGGGUUACUCAAUGUAUUCAUCUUUCUAUAUAAUGUUCAUUAGCUUUUUGAUACUCGGGUUCUGAUCUUGUAUUUGCUGGUUUCUGUUGGAUUUUUUUUAUCACUUUCCUCUGUUUGGAAGAACACAUUUGAGCAUGUCUAUCCGCCUUAUCUCUUGGAUUUUCAAAACUAUUUGCUUGUCACUGCGAGGGUGAAGAUUCUUAUAUGUCAUAUCAAUUUUUAAGAUUUUUACUUGUGAUGCACGUUUUAUUUUGUUUAUUAAGUUGGUUAACUUGCACUCUAUGUUCGUUGCUUAAUGGAGAUAUUGUUGCCAGUGCUACACCAUUCUCUUUUACAAAAACUAAAUUAUGCGUCAAUUCUGAAUUAGUUGAGGUUAUACUUUAAAGUUAAUCCUCCUAAUUUAUGUUGAGCAAUUGAUCAGAAGAUGCCAUCUCCUAUCAACACUUGUUGGGAAUUAUAUUAAUACAUACAUUUAACCUAGGUCAGGUUUUUAUCCUUUCUCUCGAUCAUGCUAGCUUAUCUCCCCUUUUUUGUGUCCGAGCUUUGGUACAAGCUGUAUAUGUGUUUACCUCAAGUUUUGCUAAUAGCCUUAUUAGCCUCUUUGUUAACUUCCUUACAUUCUUCAAAGGAUUCUUGUGCUGUUGUUAACUUCCCGUAGUCCCGCUUUAAUAGUUCUUUAUUUCCUCAUUCUAUCACAAAGAUCAUUAUAGUCAUGGUCGUAGGCCUUUACACACCUAGAACUUCACUUGUUACUCUCUCAAUUCAACUUGACAUUUCCUUAUAAUUCAUUAGCUUUUAAGUCCCAGACUCCCUCUCUCUAUUGUUUGUCCAUAAAUGCUACUUGGUUUGUGCUUUUUAGUGUCCACUAUUGAAUUUUCGGUUGCAUGCCGUUCAUCUCAGUUUUCUUUUUCGCUCACUCUUUUGCUUCACAUCCAUGUAAAUUAGUUUGUGUUUGGUUGUUAAAACUUCUUCUGGUAUAUCAAUGCGGUCCUUAAAUUUGACCAUGUCAUUUAUUUCUGAUAAGGAUGGAAUUAAUUUGGUUAUGGUUACCUCACACAAAUAUUUUUCCAUGUGAUUUCCUUUUUUACAAUAGGUAUAGCUAAAGCUAAAUCACAAGGUGAUACAAACUUUGAAAUAGUGUUUCCUUCUUCAUUCCUAGCACGAUAAUCAUAGUCCAAUAUAUUAGGUUGGAUCUGUCACUAUAUCUACCCAUAUGUCCAUUUAGGUCUCCCCCAAUAAACAUCAGUAAAGAUCUGGCCGUCACUCGGGAUCCUUUGAACCAAGGUAUUCGUAUCUUCUUAGGACGUGGUUUAGUUAUCUCAUCUAACCAUCUUUGGGGAGCAAAAUUUUUUUAUUCCAACAUAAUUUUUUGAAGAAAUCACAAUUUUGUUAGAAUGCAAUAGAUCCAAAGUGAUCUGUCCCUUCUCCCUUUCCCGCACAUAGCAGGAGAUUACCGCUUCGUCAGAAAAUUUUACUAAAUACUUAUAAUAAUUAAAAUGCAGAAGCUAAAACAUGUAUAAAUUGAUUGAAGUGACCCUGCUUGACAUAACCAGGUAAGUAGCUCGUUUGGUCAAGCGCCCUAGUUUUCUAGGAUAUAUCAUGGGUUCAAAGCUCCGUGGCAGCGUUUUCUGUUUUAAAUUUUUGAUAAUAUAAAUAAGCAGCAUUUUCUGUUUUAAAUUUUUGAUAAUAUAAAUAAAAUACUUUCCAGCUGGUUUUGAACCAUUGAUCUGUAAGUGUUAAACAAAAGAAACCAAUGGGUCAAUAACCAAAUGCCGGAAACAAAAAAUUAUUUAAAAGCUUCGAGUUCUAAAGGAUGUUGCUGCUUCCAUAUGUUGGUCUGCUAAUUUUUUCUUUUCCUUCACUUUCUCCUUGGCGAUGAUACCAAUUAAGAACAAUUUCGCAGAUUAAUUAUGAGUUUUUGAGUGAUUGUUUGGUGCUUUUUAUAGAACAGAAAGUACAUUUAGUAUAUUUCUAGUGAGGUUAUUUUGAAUACAUUUCAAAAAAUAAUUUUUUUUUGAAGAAGAGUUGUAAUAUGAUUGAGUUGUGCUUUAUUCAUAUAAUUUGAGUUAUACUUUUUUUCUUUCUUUAAUAUAGAGAUUUGUGUAUUGUUCCAUUAUAAAAUGGUGACACCGCUUACGAAAAGUCCCUUACGCCACUGCUACAAGGAAUCAACAUGUCGUGCCAGAUGAGUACUGAGAACCUAUGUUGCUCGGUGUCUCUAAAAAUGUUGCUGGGUGUGUGUUGGAUCCUCCAAAAUUAAUGCAUUUUUUUUGACGAUCCGACACGGCUGCGACAACGUUUUGCAGAGUCCGCGUAACAUAGCUGAGAACUCCAACCUCUUAUUGAACAUUGGUCAAAGUUUGACCUUUCGUCCAUUAUGGUCGCAUAAUGGAACUUCAAAGCUUCAUAGACCUCUUGUUCUAUGUAUGACUUGUUCUUUUUGACUGAUAAACUAGAUAUUCUUGUUUGCAUCCGUUUUAGAUGGCUCAUUGAUGCAUGAAAUGGGUGUUGCUGAACUGCUAUAAUGUUUAGUAGUUCAUGCUUAAUUAUUUUUGAUUUAAUUGUAGUCAUCUCUAAACGGGUCAGCGUCAAAUCUUCCUGACAACACCGGACGCUCAUUUCCUUCAUCUUUCUCUCCUCAAUCUGGUGCAGCUUCCCCUCUUUAUCAUCACUCUGGUGAGUUGUUUUCUGUAAUGUUCUUACUUUCUGAUUUUGAAGCAAAUGUACUAGCAAACUUCUUCGUCGCAGGAAAUAUUCAGGGCCUUCAUAACAUGCAUGGGAGUUUUAAUGUUCCUAACAUGUCGGGUACACUUGGUUCAAGAAACACAACAAUAAAUAAUGUCCCUUCAAGUGGUGUCCAGCAAUCUGGAAAUAGCCUCUCUAGUGGUCGUUUUGCAUCAAAUAAUAUUCCGGUAGCCCUUUCACAGGUUUGUCUAUUUCUAUUUCUUUUUUUGUUCAGGAGAAUAAUGGAAAAAUAAUAGAAAAACUCUCUCUAAGGUGGUAAUUGUUGUUACUUUCUCGGUUUGGUUUCUCUCCCUCGGUUUGCACUUAAUGUGAGAUGUUGGAGAAAUAUUUCUGAAAAAUUGGGAAGAAGUUUUGAUUUUGAAAUGUUGUAAUUUGAUUUAGGAAAUGGAGUUUUUAGAGAAGAUCUUGAGAGACAUGCUACUAUUAGCUUAAACCAUUUCAAGCAUUGACUACAAUUAGCUUUCGAGAUCUUCCUGCUUCUGUUUUUUUCCUUCUCUUUUCUCAUUCUUUAUUCACAGCAGGCUAACAAACUCUAGAGGCUCAACUUUCAUUGCAUUGCAUAUCUCUGUUGCAGAUAUCCCAGGGAAGUUCUCAUGGUCAUUCCAGCAUGACAAGUAGAGGUGGUAUGAGUGUUGUUGGUAACGCGGGAUAUAGUAGUAACACUAAUGGCGUUGGGGGUUCUAUUCCUGGAAUUCUGCCAACCUCUGCAGCAAUUGGUAAUCGAAGCUCUGUUCCAGGCCUUGGCAUGUCCCCAAUUUUGGGAAAUGCUGGUCCAAGGAUGUCAAACUCAGUUGGAAAUAUAGUUGGAGGCAACAUUGGGAGAAGCAUCAGCUCUGGUGCAGGAUUGUCUGUGCCUGGUCUUGCUUCUAGACUAAAUUUGACUGCGAACAGUGGUUCUGGAAAUUUAAAUGUUCAAGGAUCUAAUAGGCUAAUGAGUGGUGUCCUCCAGCAAGGUAAAUUAACCUGAAAUGCUGAUAGUUUCUCUUCUUUUUGUUUUGUUAGUUUCUCUAUCUUGCUGUCUGUUCUUUGUUUUAAUAUCCAAAACAUUUACUGACGUUAUUUUCAUACUUUACAGAGGCUUAGCUAGUUUCGUUCUUUCUUGAAUGCAGUACCUAAUUUGAAAUAUAGACGUUUAAAAUUUUUAGUAAAUUUCUUUACAUAUCUUUUUUGGUCCUAUUUUCUAAAUUUUGUGAACUGAAAAUUUCUAUGUAGCUUUAACUUGAAAUAUGAAGAGGAUAUUCUUUGCUGAUAGUUGGUUAUAGGUAGAAGUUUUUCCAGGCAAACAGUCUUUUAUUCCCUUUUUUGGGGGGGUGGGGGUGGGGUCAAAUGUGAAUCAUCUCCCUUAGCUUUGGGUUUGUGAUGGAUGUCUUGACCUUGGAAAGUAUAUACAUAACCACCUCAUUCCACCUUCGAAAGUAGGAUUGGUUCUAACCUUACUUUCCUUAAAAAACACAGCAGCCAAAACGACCCAUUUCAACAUAUGACAGAAGAAAAAGUUGAAAACAUGGAGAAGUUGAACAAAAAUAAUAUAAGAGUUGCCCUCUCCUACCCCCGUUUUCACCUUUACUGCGUAGCACUAAUUGGGAGGACGGAGGAAAGAAGAGGAAUAAGGGAAGAGGGAAAUAAUUGGUGUAUUUAUGUUCAAUAUGCCAAAUAUGUACAUUUGGAUUGAAAAUAUGCAUUUUCACCUUAUUUUACAUAAUGUUGAGAAGGAUAUGUAUGCAUUUAUGGGAGGUUAUGUUUAUAUUUACAGCGGCUGGGUAAUUUAUGUACCUCAAGCUAAAAACUGAGGGGAGUAAUUCCUUUUUUGGGUUUAUAAAGCAAACUGAGAUUAUCCAUAUUCAAUUGUUUAUUUACAGAGGCUGGGUGGCUUAUGUGGCACUAAUUGAGGGAGAAUCCUUUUUAACCUUUUCUUCUUUUUUUUUAAACUCUAAAAAGUAGUUUCAAAUAAGGCUGAUUUUUUUAAAGCUAGUGUUAAAAUUUAUACUGUUUCCGCUUUGUUCUUCAGUAACCUCCUUUUAAAGCUAUUGGCUAUUUGAACCUUGAACUGUUGAUUUUGUGCUCUUCAUUUCACAUGUUUUUGAUUUUUUUCCCACCAUUGACCUCGCUUUUCUAGGACUUCCUCAGUAUUUAAGAGGCACAUUAUUAUUUGAUUUGUUUAAAUUCAGUAUGUAAAUAUGCUUUGAUGGUACUUACUUUUAGCUGCUUUUGCCAUUGAUUCUGCAUAAAGUUGUUAUUUGUAGAUUUUAAGGCGAACUAGGCACCUACGAUAUAUAUUAUGUUGUAGGUCGAUCUAUCGUCUAUGCUAACGGUACCAUCUGCAUUCAGCCUCUCCGCAGGUAAUGUCUAUGUUAGGUAAUUCAUAUCCUCCUGCUGGUGGUCCACUAUCUCAGAACCAUAUCCAAGCAGUCGGCAACCUUAAUUCUAUGGGAAUGCUGAAUGAUCUGAAUUCAAGUGAUGGAUCUCCAUUUGAUAUAAACGAUUUCCCUCAGCUAAGCAGUCGACCUAGUUCUGCUGGAGGGCCUCAAGGACAAUUGGGUAAUCAAAGUGCCUUUCCUUCCUGAUAUUCUGCGUAAGUGAUUUUAUUUGACAAUUCAUUCAGAAUACUGAGGAAGGAACAAUCUCAGGUUCACUGCGAAAACAAAUUGUUCAACAAAAUCAGGAAUUCAGCAUUCAAAAUGAAGAUUUUCCGGCCUUGCCAGGAUUUAAAGGUGCUUAUAUGCAUGCACAAAGCUCUUUUCAUGCUUUCUUAAGUUCGUUGAUAAAUCACUCAGCAUAUAUAACUUUGUAUGACAAUUUGUUCGGUGGGGUCAAAAAAGCAAGGGUGGGAGGACGGAAAUAGAGGGAUAUGAGUCAUUUCGCUGUUUUGUUAAGAAACAACCUACCAGGGAAAGUGAAAGUAGAAGGGUGCAUACCCCUCUCCGCGAGCCUUUUCAUUUCUUUAAUUGGGUGGAGAGCAAAGGUAUCUGAUUUACUCCCCUUAAAGUUGCACCAGUCAGCGUGAAAUGAAUGACAAAUACUUCGGAGUAGGUAAGUCAACCAAAGCGCUUUCCCUUUGCCCUUUCAUCCCCUCCCUUGAAACAAACGUAGUGUUAGUGGAUCUGAAUUCUCAAUUCCUAGUAUGACCGGUUGAUGUCGCACCCCACCAGCUAAACUUGUUCACUCGUCCUGGGCUUUAUUUGGUGUAUAGCUUUCUUUUUUCUCCUGGGGGGAGCGCUAGGAAUUAUGUUUCAGCAUGCUUAUGGGGCUUUAUUCCGUAGUUGUUUCUUUUAUAUUUUUGUCUUGCUUUAUGCGUGGAAAUGUUCCUAUUUGCUCUUGCAUGUUAGAGUCUACUAAAUGCAAUUGCUCUCGUGUUUGCUUAGGUGGCAAUGCUGAUUAUGGUAUGGAUCUACACCAGAAAGAACAACUCCAUGAUAAUACUCUUUCUAUGAUGCAGCAGCAGCACUUCUCUGUAAACACAAAAAUACUGGAUUACUAUUUUAAAUGUUGUGAUUACUAGUAAAUGCUUUUAGCCUCAUGACUCUGCCCUCAAUCUCUCAUAAACUAAUGCACAGAUGGGCAGAUCUGGUGGCUUUAACUUGGGAGGGACAUACUCAUCACUUCGCUCACAGCAGCAACAGCAACAUGCCCCAUCAGUGAGUAAUAGUGGUCUCUCUUUUUCAAGUGUUAACAACCAGGAUCCACUACAUUUACAUGGUUCAGAUGUCUUCUCAUCAUCGCACUCCAGUUAUCACCAACAGGUGCAUUACUCUUACAUUUUUGCUCUUAUUUGUUUCAUUUUUUUCCGUUUGUCUUUCUCUUUAUAUUUUGGGGUGCUAUUGAGGUGAGAUAUGUAUCACAUGCACUCUGCAUGAAGAGAGAAGCCCUCCUGUGUUGGAGAUUUCCAUUCCUUUUAAAAAAAAUAAACCAUGUUUUCCCCUUACCUAUUUCUGUUUGGAGGUUUCUUUUAUUUAUUUAUUCUUGUUUGGGUCGGGUGGGGUUUGGGGGGUGGGGUAGUUGAGGUUGGUAUUCCUUUGUUGCCUUUUGUGUUCUUCAAACUGUGGAGAAGUAUGUGUAUUCUUCUGAGUACUUGUACGAUAGUGGCUAUUCCAAACCAAAAAUGCGAUUUUAUCAGAAGAGCUAUCUUCUUCUGAAGCAUGACUGAGUUGAGUUGUGACAUGGAAAAGCUAGAGUUUUGCUAGUAUUAUGCUGAAGAAGUUUUUUCUAUAUUAUAUGUAAUUUGUAGUGCAUGCUAUAAGGUCCAUACUCAUACAGCUUUAAGUGAUACUUUACUCGCUUUUCACUGUAUUUGAUUCAGUCUGGUGGACCUCCUGGUAUCGGGUUACGGCCUCUUAAUUCUCCAAGUGCUGUUUCUGGUAUUGGCUCUUACGAUCAGCUUAUCCAGCAGUAUCAACAACAUCAGAGUCAAUCCCAAUUUCGACUGCAGCAAAUGUCUGCUUUAGGUCAGUCGUACAGGGAUCAGGGCAUGAAAUCCAUGCAGGCCCAAGCUGCCCCUGACCCUUUUGGUAUGCUUGGUUUGCUAAGUGUAAUAAGGAUGAGCGAUCCGGAUCUGACUUCUCUUGCACUUGGAAUUGAUCUAACAACUCUUGGAUUGAAUUUGAACUCUACCGAAAAUUUACACAAGGCAUUUGGUUCCCCAUGGUCUGAUGAGCCUGCCAAGGGUGAUCCAGAAUUUACUGUACCGCAAUGUUAUUAUGCCAAGCAACCACCUCCUCUAAAUGUGAGUGACCUUUAUAUUCUUGUUUAUCUUCAUUCGAUUGCCCUUCUUCAAAUCUACUAACACAUUUGAAUUGGCUCCAGCAAGCAUACUUCUCCAAGUUUCAGUUAGACACUUUAUUUUACAUUUUCUACAGGCAAGUCUCUCUCACAAGCAAGUCUAGUUUUCUUGGCCAUAAAAUUUGAAUCUAGAAAUAAAUCAAUCUGUUGUUCUUUGCAGCAUGCCAAAGGAUGAAGCCCAAUUAUAUGCUGCUAAUGAAUUGUAUGCUCUCUUUUCUAUGAAAUUGGUUUAUAGGGUGCUAUUUUGUUCUGUUGUAAUUCCUAAUAGCAAUUUAGCUUUCUAUUGCUUCUUGGGAUCCGCAUACAAAAUUACUAACCUAUUUGUGGAUGUUUGACUUGCUUCAGUUCUUGAUAACCAUUUGUGGAUGUUGAAUAUACUUGAUAACCAUUUGCAUUAUUUCAUACAGGUAUAAUCGGGGCUGGUUUUACCACAGAGAACAUCGAUUAUGGUUUAUGAGGGUCGCCAACAUGGAGCCUCUUGUCAAGACCAACGCCUAUGAGAGAGGAUCUUAUAUAUGUUUUGAUCCAAACACAUGGGAAACAAUCCGCAAGGUAUGGAUUUCGUUCUACUUUUUGAAUUUAUGUAAUUGUUCGAUUGAGGUUCUAGUUUUCUGAUUUUUCUGCAAUUCUCUGCAGGAUAAUUUUGUGCUCCACUAUGAGAUGUUGGAAAAAAGACCUGUUCUACCUCAGCACUAACGAUUCUGUUCAGCUUAUAGUUGUACAUUUUUCACAUAUCCCAUUUUCUAGGAGUCAACUAGCUCUCACCUGUAGUUUUCUGCUCAAUUGGUUUUUUUGGCAGCCAUUGUUACUGUAAUGUUUUGUCAGUUGGUGGUGAUUUACCUGUUGUAUCUUUUAGAUGCUGCAAGUCAAAAAGAAAUAUAUUCCGGAAUAAUUCUCCCAUUUUCCCUGUCGAACCAAACUUUUUUGUCGGUGGAAAUGCCAUUUUUGAGUUAACUGUAGACAUACGAAUGACUUGUCCCUUACUGGCUUAAUAUGAAACAUAGCUUAUUCUUCAACCACCCAAUUUGUCAUUCCUGCAGAAAAGGAAAAAGAAAAAGAUAAAAAAGUUAAAGAGUUUAAUGUACUUUUGUCACUCUACGACCCAGAUCCUUCCCAAACAUUAUAAGCUCCAUAAUUAUCCAGUUAUGAAGGUUAUAAAGCCAUGUUAUCCAUAAAACUGUACGAGGCCUAGUCUCAAAAUGACGCUUAUAAGAUGAGAAUUGAUAGUAGAUAUCCUCAUAAUUUCUUUGCCUCAAAAUACUUCUCCUCCUUGCUUUGUAUUGUAAACUGGUUCGAGGUUAAUUGGCUCUUCGCGAUUGAAGUUGUCACAGUUGCUUGCUGCGUACCAUCUCUACUUCAAGAAGAGAAAAGACCAUCGUAACGGCUAAAUCCGUAUCUAAUCUGUAGCACAAAAGGGGAUUCUAGAUAAAAAAAAUUCGUAUGGUUCCUGUGCUGAGGCCUUUAUUCUCUCCGGCAUUUCUUUGAACUCCUCGUCGAUCUUGCAAUGUAAAGGCUUCUCCAGGAAUAGACACGACGGGGUAAGAGGGGAUAUAUUUGUUCUGUUUCCACCAAAUUAAGCAAUUUAACCCGAUUGUUAGAAUACAUUACCAGUAAGGUGAUAAAUUUUGGUUUGGUAUAAACACGAGUGCAGAUAAUGUGGUAAGAGCCUAUAAUCUCCUGCCUCCUUAUUAGUAGGACGCCAGCUCCAGAUUGUAUCCAGAAGUGAACAAGUUAAAUUGCGCUUUCUGAACACCAACAUAAGAUUGACAAAAAUUUUCAUGAAGUAGAGCAACUACCUUUGACUCAAGAGUGCACAUGAAGGUAAAGCCAGUACCCAAGAAGAAGGAUAGGAUUUACAAGGAAGUCUUUCUAGAUAGCAUACAUUUUCUUGUAUUCAUUGUUUAGAACAUCUGAAUCAGAGAUGACUGAGGCUGACCAGGACAAGGACCUGCUGGCCAGAGAGUUCUUUCGGAUGUUCCUCUUGUUUGAGGAUUCUAUCCGAUGCAUUAUGACCCAAUAACACAGUGUACCUAGUGUUGCAACUAAUAUGAUUGUUCCUAUUAUAGUGACUACAACAGCCAGCCACUUCUCAUUCUUGCCUACCACAACAAACGAUAGAGCCAAAAAAGCCACUGAAAUAAGCACACAUGCCAACCACAUAAGCUUGUUUAUGAUAGCCAUCAUCUGCUUCUUUGCUUUGCUUUCGAUCACCACGAUUGAUGUCUGAACAAUCACAACUGCAAGAGAGAUGAAUAAGGCGAUAGAGUCGAGGACAAAGAAUAUAAGAAAUAAGGGGCUUGGUGCUAUAUUUGCUUCUCCAAGGGAAUGGCCUGGUGGGAUGUCUUCUGCAUACUCUAUGUAUUGUCCCGGGACAGAAAAAAUCGCUGCAUAGGCGACUGUGGCAAUGAGUACAGCUACAACUGUGGUGGAAUUAAUAGCAUUGUUAAGGCCUUCAGCAUGCAUUUUAUCUAUGCGUUUGGCAAUGCCAUGUAUACGUUUUCUUGUCCGUCGUGUAUGUUCCAUUUGAUAGUGCACUUCAUGUUUUAUGUCACUAACAGUUUGCUUCAACUCUCUUGCUGGAUUUGUUGCCUGAGGUUUGAUGGCUCGGAUACUUUGUACACCUGAUUCUUGUAGGAUGACUGCAAUAUUGACCUGUCCCAUUUUCUCUGCAGUGUCAAUGGCUGUUUCGUUGGACCUAUUUACAGCUUUAGUGUCCGUCUCUUUCUGCCCAAGCAGCAACUUAACAAUCUGCAUAAUUCAAAGCAAAUAUGAGGUGACUUCACAGCAAUGACCUAACUACAUUGACAACUUUUUAUGAACAUUUUUCAAGAACCUAUGCUCAUUUACACAUGAUGUUGUGCAUGAGGUGAGAAGAGUAUCAAUUUUGUCCAUUACCCCUAAAUGACCAAGUUUUUCUACAAAAGCAUCCCAAAUUCGCAUCCCAUUGACACAUUCUGUUUCAUCUUUUAUUUGUUUGUCAUAAUCAUUAUUUCACCAAAUAAAUCCUGCAUCCACUAGCCAGUCAUUGAUUUUCUAGUAUCCUCUUUGAAAAGAGGAAAAAGUGCACAAAAAGUCAAGGGAUUUAACUAAUAUACAAUGACAAUGUAAAGUAUUUUUACCUAUUACUAUUAGGUAGGUUACCUGCCUUAUUGUUCAGCUUACUGAUCUCACUUUUUAUGGACGAUUAUCUGUAGUUAUCUUUUACCAACCUAAUAGUGUAAAAAAUCCUUCUACACUAUCAAUAUAUAAAAGUUAGACUCGAAGUCAAUAAACUAACUCCAAAGACUCUAAACAACAACAAAAUCUAUAGGCAAGAAAACAGCAUACCUGAGCCCUUCCUUUCCGGGCUGCAAUAUGCAAUGCUGUAUUGCCCUUUGUGUCGACCAUAUUUAUCGACUUAGCAUCUGCUCUAAUCAGCUCCUCUACAACCUCAAGAUUUUGUCCUUUGACAGCCAUGUGAAGAGCAGUCUGCCCCUUCUUAUCCAUCCGGCUCGCAAUUCCCCGCUCCUUAUUCAAAAGGGCCUUCACAACCUGCACAUGUCCAUUUCUGGCAGCAGAAUGAAGUGCUGUUUUCCCAUUACUUUUAGCAAUAGUGGCCAAACUUUUCUCUGCUUCUAAUAGAUAAUUCACCACCUCAAUAUGCCCUUGGUUUGCUGCACUAUGCAAAGCUGUUGUAUUUGCAUUAUCGACAGUCAUUGACAGCUCAGGAUGUGCUCCCAUUAGUACCUUCACCACAUCUGCAACACAUUAGGAAAAAAAAAUCUAUAAAACUAGAAUCAGAAAAUAGAGAAGCAAAAUGGAGCUGUUUAUACUGCCAUCAACAUACCCAAAUCCCCUUGUUUAGCAGCAAUGUGCAGCGCAUCAAAUCCGUUCCUUGCUUUGAUUCCAGCAGAAACAAGAUCAUAGUACUUGAUCAUCUCCUUAACUAACUCAUAAUAACCAUAUUCUGCUGAAACAUACAAAGGGGUCUCUCCAGCUGAAUUUUGCUUUAUCAACAGCUCUUCCAAUUCUUCCUUUCCCGUUUUAUCGAUAAUCUCUCUUAUUUCAACAAGAUUUCCUGCUCUAGCCAAUGAAUGCAAGACAGUGUCCUCACGUUUCCCCGUUAACUGUUUCUUCAUCGUUUUCGAGGGCAUAGAUGCCUCCAUAUUCCUCUAUACAAUUUCUCCAAAAAUCCACCCUUUGGCCUAAAAAUGCUAAUCGUUAACCAAAAUCAUUUUCUUCUUUCCCUCAAACACCCAGAUCAGCAAUAGCAUUCUCAACACUAAGAGAGAUUCAGAAACCAAAAGAUGAAAUUUUUAUCAACCUGAAGCACCUUAUGACAAUCAUAUACUGUUGGAUUCUUCAAAAGGCAUAAUCUUGAAUUUCAUUCCCACCUUCUAUUUCAGGUUUUUGCAGAAAUCAGUGCCCUGCUAACAACAACAACAAAUUCUUGAUUAUGUUUUUCCAUAAGAAGAACAUCAUUCAUUAAAAUUAUCACUCUUUACCCUUUAGCUAAUCAUCAUUCUACAGUAGCCACAAUUAGAGGAAACUGAACAUCUGCUCUCUAUUUGUUUUAUACUCCUAUAUAGCUAAUUAUUCCUAUUGUCUUGUCCAGUUGUCCUUCUUCUUUAAUGCAUUACACCUAAAAAGAAUGUCAUUUACAUAAAGCAAAAGACAAUAACAUGUACCUGGAUAUGAAGAAACUUCCACAGUAUAAAGAGGUGUAUAUGAUGAAAAUAACCUGUUUAUUGGUUAUCAGAGAUGGAAGAAAAGCUCUAGAGUUUUUCGGUUGAUAUUAUUUGAACAAGUUGAGAAAAAAGGCACAAAUAGUAGAACAUUAAAGUCACAUGUAUGCAAAUGCAACACACAAACUUGUAUGUUAAUAUAAUAUGGGAGACACAACUCUGAAGAACCAAAAGGAUGCCACUUUUGUAAAGUUAGUGAUGAUGAAGAUGAAUGGUGAUGGAUUGAAACUUUAUAUAUUGAGAAUCAAAACUUAAAAUUGUGCUUAAUUACGUGGAUAAUCCCUUUAGUUAUAAUUUUCUAUAGUACAUAAUUUUUUCCUUUAUUUUACAAUUUCAUCAACUGGACUUGUUCUUUUAAUAUGAAUCGACCAACUUAAACUCUAAAUAAUAAUUGUGCAAGAUCGAAUAACUAUGAAAAUGAUCAAAGUUUAAUCUAUUUUAAACAAAAAUUAGUUAUUUUAAACUCAAAUUAGUUAUUUUACGCAGCAACUAGAUUGGUUACUAAAACCUUAGAAUGUAGAUUUUGUCAUAUACUGUUAUUGAAAGAAAACUAGGUAGAGUUUCCGUAUAUGGUGGUUAUUUUGUAAGUAACUUAAGAUAAAACAGUAAAGAACAAAAAACCUAAUGGCGCUGGUGAUUGGGGGUAGAACCAAAGCCACAACCGUCAUUAUUAUUAUUAUUAUUAUUUUUUCCCAGAGAAAUGACCCUUUUACACAUUUUUAUUUUUACUUUUAGUUUUCACGAUUAACAACAAAGUAGAGAAAGUUAUGAGUACUGUAAAUCGAAACUGUACAUUUGGAACAAAAUGAACGUAAAACAAUCUUUUAUGGCAAUGCAAGACGACUACGUGCUUGAUUAAUUUUAUCUUCUCUCGAAUAAUUCAUUUAUCAAUUGUGAAUGAUAUUCACUAAUAAUACAAAUUUCAUCAUCCUAAAUUCCUAAUCAUGUCCAAAAGUAGCCAACUCGGAUGUUACUUAUUCAGUUUUUCCCAAAAAAUAAAAUAAAAAAUAAUUAAUUUCUUUGUUUAANNNNNNNNNNNNNNNNNNNNNNNNNUUGGACUUCAUGCAGAGAAACAUCCUAAAGCAGAGAGCAUAUCCAUCUCAAAUCUCAUUAAUUUGUUUAUAUUAUGGAACUUGGAUAGCGAGGCGCCUUUGAGGAUUUUCUCAACAUUAAUUUAGCAGGUAAUAUUUUUUUAAUAGUUUAUUGUGAUAAUUGUCUCUCAAAUCAAUAAUCGAAGUAUUAUUUAUAUAAAAAUAGAUAUGUCAAUUAUCACUUAUAAUUGCUAAUAAUCUAAUAAAUUUAAAAAUUCCGAAUAAACCUUACCUAGUACUAAACUUGAUAUUAAAUUGAAGAGUUGAAGAAGUAGAUUUUAAUAAAGUAAAGUCUUAGCUAAGAGUGAUUGCUUUCAUUUAUUAGUGAUUGUGAUAAACUCAGCAGUUAAUCAAAAUAAAAAUAAAAUAACAAGGAAUUAAAGAAAUAAAAAAACUUCUAAUAUCGGAUGAUGAAUGUUCAAAUCAACUCAUAAUUUUGGGGACAUCAAAAGCAAGAAAAUGUUUGUUUUCCUUAGUGAUGAAGACUUGGAUUGGGCAAAGUGGGAUGAAAAAAUGGGAAUACCCCACAGAAUCAAACUUUAAAGUUAGUCUUUUGUUUAAAGGGGUAUUUAGAAAGGGCUAAGGGGGGGCAUGUGGGCAUUCUGUAAUCCACCCCUUUUCAUUUUUUAAUUAGAGAAAAGUGGGCAAGAAUUCAUCUCAUCACCUAAUAUAUUAUUCAUUUGAAUAUAUAUAGAUUCGUAUAUCUAUGAUUUGAGAUUUAUUAGCAUAAAGACAAUUCUCUGAAAUCUCCUUUAGAUCAUCUAGAAACCCACGUAGGGGAACAUGCAUUAGCAAGAGCUUACGCAUAAUUUGCAUAUAUAAGUGAUGUUCGUCUUUAUUAUCUUAUUUAUCUCGUGUUGUGUUAUUUUCAAAGGAUUUCAAUGUAAUAUGUAUAUAUACACAAAGAAACUGUUUUUUUCUUUUUUUGGCGAAACGGUAUCAGAUACUAAAGAGUGUCUCUAGUGAGUGAUCAAAGGAAGAACAUCACACGAAGAGAAGAGUGGAAGAUAAGAAGGAAAUAAGUAACAUGAUUAGCACAACAAUUAGAAUAAAUCACCCGACAAUUACUGAAAACCUUCGAAUAUAACAAUUAAAUAAAAUGAAUAGAUUAUAAGCUCCCGAUUUCUCCUAAUUCUAACAAGCAUAUAUAGUACAAAAAGGAAGAAAAAUAGGCAUAAUUCUAUUUCUUUCUGAAACGGCUGAAACUAACAAGUAACAACCAUGACCCAUAAUAAAUCCAUAUACAUGAAGAUCAGUUAUAGGAUCUGAACCAUUUUUAUUAUAAACAAUAACAAGAGUGGUGAGUAGCUAGCUGAUUCAGAUUCUCAUUGACCUUACACUGAUAAAUUACGAGUUCAAGUUUUGUGAACUAAUGAUGUUUCAAAUUGACAUAUAACAAAAGUAACUAAUUUUAGCAAAUCUAAUAUGACAACCAGACAAAUAAAGUAUAAUCUGUUAUUAUCGAUUAAGUUCUACCGAUAUUGUCUAUGAAUAUAACUUAAAUUCAUAAUUUUAUUCAUUAAAAUUUGGAUUUUAAUAUUUAUGAUUUGAGAUUAAUUUGCGUAAAAGACACUUCUCUGAGAUCUCCUUUAGGUCAUGUAGAAACUUACGCAGGGGAACAUGUAUCAGAAGAAUAUCUGAAGCAAAGAGUGGAAGAUAAGAAGGACGAACAUCACUGUUCCAAUUAACAUGAUUAGCACAGCAAUUAGAAUAAAUCACCCGACAAUUACUGAAAACCUUCUGAUAUAACAAUUAAAUAAAAUCAAUAGAUUAUAAGCGUCUGAUUCCUCUUAAUCCUAACAAGCAGAUAUAGUACAAGAAGGGAAGAAAAAAAUUUGUAGUUUUAUUUCGUUCUUAAACGGUGGAAACUAACGGCCAUGAGCCAUAAUUUUAGAAUAAUUUUAGAAUCUGAAUGAUUUACAUGUUUACACAAUAACAUGUGAGUAGCUGCUGAUUAAGAUAUAUGCUCAUUGACCUUGCACUUUCUAAUCAUGUAUGUUCUUUAGACGCUCUUUGGCAUCGUAUUCUUUUUUCAGUUUUGUUUUUGUUUUUGGUUUUGUUUUUGUAACAGUGGCGUUCAAGUCAGUUUUUGUGCAUUAUUUCAGCAAACAUGAUGUUGUUUCACUCUUAAGAUGCAAAAAUGGAUUACGACUUUCCUAUUAAGCGAAAGCUAAUUGAUAAGAGAAUUAAAAAGCUCUUUCAGGAGUAUGGAAUGUGUUAGCAACAACAAUUUAUACUAGGGAUUUUUUCGUUCCUAUACACUAUUUGAAACCUUAUUACCAAAAAUGUCCAAGUUUAGGUAUUUACCCGACCUAAACGCGUUUUAGCUACAAAAAAUAUACAUUUGUUUAAACUAGACUCCUUUAUGCGAUAGUCUUCCUUAUUUAAACGCGAAAUUUUGGGAUCGCUUAUAUUUCAAUUAGAGAUUUUACUGACGCAAUCAUCGCACCAUAAUCAAGGCAACAUAUUUGUAGAAUCCUUCUAUUACGCAGAUUUUUUCUCAUUAUCAUCGCACCAUAAUCAAGGCAACAUAUAUGUAGUAUCCUUCUAUUCUCUGGUUUUCCAUAAACAAAGGUUUUGAAGAAAACAAUUGCAAACAAUUAGCUACAAUUGAAUCGAAUUUCGCGACAUAAUGUCAAAAUUAGCGAUUAUACUUAAGCUCAAUGGUCGGUGGGAUAACGUUGGGAGAUACAAAGAUUUUGAUGUUAAUGGAAUUGUAGUCAAUGAAGAAUCAAAUUAUAGUCAAUUGAAUUCCGCAAUUGCAGAGCAUCUAAUGAUCGAUACCUCCGCAAAAACCGUCGAAAUCAAAUACACUGUCAACGAACGUUGUCCUCCAAUGAAAAUUCGGAAGGAUAUGGGAGUUCGAGUAUAUAUGGAGACGAAAAAGGAAAACAAAAACUUAGGAAUGUAUCUGCUGUAUAUAACAGUGCAUGAUUUCGAUUUGGAAUGCAGUAUGUCAAAUGCGAGCACAAUUGCAGGUUUGCUCUGUUUUUUCAGUGCUGAUGUUUUUCAAUUUCAAGUGUUCUACAAUUUUCCUACAAAUUAUCUACAAUAAUACUAUAUAACAAAUGUAGUUCAACUGUUAUGUCUCUACAAGUAUUCUGUCAAAUACCGAACACAUGAAUAUAUAGAUGUCUGAAUUACUAUAUUUUUAAUUGAGUGCAGGUUCAUCUGAUUAUCGUAAUACUAACGUGGUACAAUUGCCAAGCAAUUGUAACACAAUUGGAGAAGUAUCAGGAACAGUGAAGUUGAUUGAUAUGCAAAAAUUUCCAGCAAUUGUUGAAUAUGAAAGUAUCAUCAUAACAGAACAUACGCCAAAUGUAAUUGAAGUAGGCCAAGUUUACCAAGACAAGCAAAUAAUUGUCAGUACAAUAAAGCACUAUUCUGUCAUGAAUAAGUUUCAAUUUAGGGUGAAAAGGUCUAGUGCAAGAAGGUAGGAAUAUUUUAAUUGUCAAAUUCAUAUUGUGUAUAAGUUGUAGUUGUUUUGUAUAUAAAUUAUUUAAGACAAGUUGUUGUGCAUAAAUAGCCUCGUAUUCUGUAGAUACAAUUUGCAUAACAUUUUUUGAAUUGUUUUUAUUCUGUAGAUACUGCCUCAUAUGUGUUGGGGACAAUUGUACGUGGCACUUCAAGUCCACCAGCAUAAAUGAAUAAACAUUGUUCAAGGUUCGAAAAUUCAACAACUUGCACACAUGCUCUUUGAUGGACAACACAUAUAUACAAUGCAAACCUACUGCCAUGGUAGUUGGUAGCAUGAUGAUGCCAAAAUAUGCGGAUCCUAAGACAAUAUACACACCAAAAGACAUAGAAACUGACAUGUUGUCGGAUCAUAGUAUGAACUUAACAUACAUACAAGCUUGGAGAGCAAAGGAAAAUGCUUUGGAAUUUUUGAGAGGUCAUUCUGCUGAUUCCUACAGUCGCUUGCCGAGUUAUUUGUAUAUUCUGGAGAAGACUUAUCAGAGGUUGAUAGUGAAAUUGCAGAAGACUGAAGAUGACAGUUUCUUGUAUACAUUUGUUUCACUUAGUACGUGUAUCAAGGGUUGGGAGCAUUGCAGGCCGGUUGUAGUAGUUGAUGGCACCUUCUUGAAGUCAGCAUAUAGGGGAGUCAUGCAAACAGCUAGCACAAUGGAUGCAACAUGUAAUGUAGAUUAAUUAUAAAAAUAUUGUUAUAAAGUUAUUUUUGAGACUGUAAUUUUUUCUAUUUUCAAGUUUCAUUACAGAAAUUGAUUUUCUUUUUGCUACCUAUGUGAUAGGUAGCAUAUUAUCACUAGCAUAGCCGUUGUUGAUUCAGAAAAUAACGCAUCAUGGAGGUUGUUUUUUGAGCAAUUCAAACAUGCAUAUGGUGAAAAAUCAAAUAUGUGUGUUGUUUCGGAUCGGAAUGAGAGUAUCUUGAAGGCAACUGUCACGACCCAAAUACCUAACCAGUCGUGAUGGUACCGAUCGUAGAAUUAGGCAAGCCGACACUCUCAAUAUGCUUUCAAUAUAUAACAGAACUGAGCUAGCAAUUAAACUAACUGAAGGUUUACAUAAUAAUGGGGUAAAAACCCAAAACACAAGUGCGAAAUGAUAGCCCGACAUCGGGGUGUCACUAAGUCAUGAGCAUCUAACAACCAAUCUAGAAACAGAGUCUACUACAGUCUGUGCCAAAUGCCAAUGCAAGAGAGAAAAGAUAAUUUGAAAGGAGAAACAAGGACUGCGGACACCGGCAACUACCUCGUAAGUCUCCAAUAAUCAGCUCGCACACGAACUCAGCGACCGCCAGGCCCGUACACACCUGGAUCUGCACAUGAAGUCAGGGUGUAGCAUGAGUACAACCAAUUCAGAAAGUAACAGAACUAAAUAAGGAACUGAGAAGCAGUGACGAGCUAUAAAAAUACAGAUCAUUUCAAAAGUUUUCAGUAAAGAGUGAACAUGCUUUCAAAUCCGGUGGUAUAAGUCAAAUCAGUUCGAGCUCAAGUAAAACAGAUAUGAAUCUUCUAGAAUUUUCACAACAACAAAAGAUAACAACUAAGUGCAACAAUAAAUAAAAGCAAGUACAACCUCUCAAGGCAGCAGUCACUCAACUCAUCUCAACAGCUUAUACUCUCGGCUCUCAGCCCUCAAUACACGCUCUUAAUAGGUACCUGCGCUCACUGGGGGUGUACAAACUUCGGAGGGGCUCCUUCAGCCCAAGCGCUAUAUUGCUGCGGCGUGCAUNNNNNNNNNNNNNNNNNNNNNAGUCCGUCUGUUCUCUGUUCUGUUUAAGGAAUUUUUCUUUCUUUCCUUUUAUUCUAUUUUGAUGUUUUAAACGUCUGUUUAUUUGUUUUGUAUUGUUAUAUUAAUUUUUUUUUAUUUUUGUCGAUUGUUCUGUUCUUCUCCCUCAAACCUUUCUAUUUUUUCGAAUUUGUUUCUGCUCGUUGUUGUGAAUAAUUAUAGGCUGUGUAAUCGAUUCGAAUAAGUUUCGUCGAUUAGUUAAGUUUUAUUAUAAAUACUUGUUCUUGUCAAUGCCGCUUGAAUUGCCUUAUUAUCUAUUUUCUGAUUGAUUGUUAUCAAUUGUUGUAGGCAAUCAGUUAAUUAGUUUUCGUCGAUUAAUUCGUUCUUGUUUAUAGACCAAUAAGUUCGUCAAAUGGUUGUUGUGUGUGCUGAUCUGUGGACACUUAGCUUCAGGGUUCAAUGUCAUUAUACUGACAGUGAUCCGGUAUUUUGGAUAGGUUUAACUUAGAAUUGUGUUAACUUAAUCCCCAUAUCAAGUUUCAGCUUCAAUGAUGCUGUUGGGUUCUGUGUGAUGUUAAUAUAAUUUUGAUUCAAUUUUCAGUUUCAGCUUUAAGGAUUCUGUUGAGUUCUGUGCUGUGUUAUGAUUGGUUUUGAUUUAAUUUCAGUUCAUUUGUUUCAAUUGAGAUUUAACCUUAGUCAUUCAGUUAUCAGAAGUAAGUUGGUUAUAACUGUUAAUCAGAAUUAGUUUUAGAUAAUUGAUAGCUUGAACAGAUUUUAGAGUCAAAAGUUUUAAUGCAGAUGAAUAGAUUGUAUUGGGGCAGUAAUAUUAAGGGGUUUUAGGGGUGAUUUGGGAAUGGAACAGUUAGGGUAAUAUUUUAGUGUUAGUGACUUGUUAGUGGGAUAUUAAAUGUCUUUAAAUUAAUAAGGUAAUGGGGAACAAGAGGGAAUGGGGGCUGAAAAUAAGGAAAAAGCUUUCCUUAGUAGGUUUUAAGUGGAAUAAUGCAGACUUUUAGUGGGGAAGGGGGUCGGGCAGCUAAGUUUGAAAGAGAGGGCAGGUCUGGAUGGCUAUAUAAGAGAGAAGGAUUAGGACUAAAAGGGAGGAUUGAUUUUUGGAGAGCUUGGGGGAGUUGAAAAAUAAUAGCUACUGUUUCAUUGCCUCGCUUAGGAUCUAAAAUAGUUAGAACCUUUCUUCCUUUUACUUCUGCUCUAUACUUGGAGUCGUUUAUAGCUGCUGGUUAUUUGUUGUUGCACUGCUGUUGCAACUGUUGUUCGUUACUACUGCUGCUGCUGAUCCUCUUCUUCCUUUUCUUGUAUUGUCAAUACCAGGUACAUGCUUCGAAUUCCCUUGAUGUAAGUUCAACCUUGGAGUGAAAAAUGUAGUUUUAUGCCAGAGUUGAGUUCAUUUGAAUACUUGUAGUUAUAGUUCGUUAAAGGUUGUACUUAUUUAGUUUUUUUAACUAGUUGGCUUGUUGACAUGAUAUGGACUGCACGGAUUUGAACUAGGACUGUUUAUAUUACAUGAAUAAUAGACGACUGUAUAAUUAGGACUAUUUAUAAGUUGUUUGGGCUGCUUGAUUCCGGGACUGUUUGGAUUUUGGAAUAUGAUUAUGUAAUAGUCAUAUUGGUUUAGUGUUGUUUUGUAGUAUAAUUUUGAAAUAAGAAGCAAGCUGCAAGCUGAAACAGGAAAGUAUUUUUCGAAUUCAUGUAUUUCGCCUGCACUAAUAAAAUUGAGCUGAAAUCAGCAAGUAUGGGUUUAAAUGUGGUUAUUGAUUAAGAGUGCAUCCGUUAUUCAUAUUUUGUUAAGAAUUAAACUUGUAUCUAUGUAUUCUCGUAAAAUUCCCUUUUUUAUAUAUAUAUUUUAUAAUGCGUAUAUUUAUGUAAGUUUUAGACUAUUGUCAUUAGUGAGUUUAGACAAGUUUUAGACAAUAUUUUGUAAUGCGUAAACUUGUAUCGUUGUAGUUUAGACAAGUAAUAUAUUUUAGUUGUAAUAAUAAUGUUAUGGUACACGUUUUCAAUCUUAUAGUAAUAGACAAUGGUCAAUAGUUAACACGAGAUUGAAAAUUAAUGGUAAUGUGUUAUUAAGCUAAUAAUUGUAACCAUUGUUAAUUAGUUAACUGAUUAGGAAAGUUGUGCUUGGAUUUGGAGAUGAAAGCCGGCUGUCCCACGGGUAGGCCUUGGAGGCCCGAUACAGAUUAAUUAUAAGUUUCUUUCUUAAAGGGAAAGUAGCUCUUAAAACAAAUUAAUUAGGACUUCUUUUAAACUACAGAGACAAUAAAAAUAGCAAAUUAUAGUUGCUUUAAGCUUGCUUUUUUUAAAAAAAAAUAAAAAAAGAGACGAGCCUUGCCAAAUAAAACGCACAAGCUGCAGGGCCCUCAAUAAAGGAAUAUCAUGAAUACAUAGAAUUCGGGAUGGGCCGUUUAGCAGAUUUCACGGCUUUCCCCAAAGUAAUAACGCGUUAGUCACUGUUAGGCGCGCCUUUAAUGAUUUACUUUCUUAAACUCGGGUGCACAUUUAUGUGACACAAAUCCGAAUCUCAACGGAGUCGAAAUGUGUCGAUAACCACGGGUACAUUGAUGUGACGGGGAUCGAGAUACGUUUUCACAACGUUGCAAUUCUUUGUUAAAAUAAUAAUGAUAAUAAUAAAAACGGUUUAAGUUAAAAUUUGCACAUAGGUUCAUAAUUGUAUAAAAAUCAAAUAAUUAAGCCGAAUAUGACAGUUGAGCGACCGUGCUAGAACCACGAAACUCGGGAAUUCCUAACACCUUCUCCCGGGUUAACAAAAUUCCUUAUCCAAAUUUCUGGUGCCCAGACUGUUAAACAGAGUUAAUCUUUUCCUCGAUUCGGUAUCCAACCUGUGACUUGGGACACCAUAAAUCUCCCAAGUGACGACUCUGAAUUAAAUAAUAAAUCCUGUUUCGAUUGUCCUUUAAUUGGAAAAACUCCUUUUGCGGUGGCGUGGGCGAAAAGGAGCUGUGACAGGGCUUGGGUAGAGGAUUGGAGGGGAAUUGGGCUAGGGGUUAAGUGGAAAGGAUUUAUUCAAGUUUCCUCCCCCCUCCCCCCCUCCCCCUUUUAAAAAAAUCCGUUUUUCCUCUUUGUUUUUCUUUUCACUCUUUUUAAUGAAUGGAAUCCUAAAAUUAAAAUCCUAAAUUAUCUAAAUUAAAAAAAAUAAAAGUUACUUAAUUAAAAGAGAAAAUCAAUAAUCUAGAAAUUAAAAGGUAAAAAAAAUGCAACAUGAGCUAUUUUGUGAUUUUUUUACUUUUGUAAAACAACUAAAUUACUAAUUAAUCCAAAAAUGCGAAAUUAAAUCCUAAAUGCGAAUGCAAUGUAUUUUUUGGCUUUUCAUGAUUUUUAAUAAAAAUAAACAUGAACAGAAAAAUGCAAAUAAUUAGUACAAAUUUCCACAAAAUCCUAUAAAUAUGGAUAAAAUUAUUUUUCUUGUAUUUAUGGGAGUAAUUCCUAUAGGGCAAAAAUCACGUGCUCACAAUAGUGAUGUUGUACAAAACACUCCUUGACUUUUAUAUACUUUAAACUAGACAGAUAGAACCGGUUUUGAACUAGGUGUAAUAAGCAUUAACUUAGUUUAAUUUGUUAGUUCUAUUGAACUUUAAUUUGUUGGUUUUAAUGUAUUUUUUGAAUUGUGUUGUUGUUGUUGUGGUGGUGGUGGUGGUGGUGGUGUUAUUGUUGUGGUGUUGUUGUGGUGGUGGUGUUGUUGGGUUGUUGUGGAGAUUUUGGUAUUGAAAUUGUAGUUUAUGAAUAGAUUAUAUUGUUAUUUAGGGAAUUUGGUAUGUUGGUAGGUGGUGUAGCUGUCAAAACAGGCAGUUUCUGCCCAAAUUAUACCCAGAAAAGCGACCAACUUUGAUCGCUAUUUUUCAGAUUUUAAAAUAUAAUAUUUGGUUUACAAACCAAAGUUGGUCGUUAUAUUUUGAAUAAUAAUAAAUAAAAAAAACGUAAUUUAAAAAUAGAGACCAACUUUGAUCGCUAAAUUUAUAUUAUUAAAAUAUUAAAGCAACCAAAGUUGGUCGGUAUAUUGUUUACCCGGAAUAUUUGGUCCUUUUACCUUAGAGACCAAAGUUGGUCGCUAAUUGGUUAGCGACCAACUUUGGUCUCUAAGUUAAAGCGACCAACAAAGUUUGGAUGCUUUUUGGUCGCUUUGUGGCUUGUAAGCGACCAACUUUGGUUACUUUUUGUGGUCAUUUUUUUUCGGAUUUCUAGUAGUGCUUGUAGCACUUGUAGUGUUAUAACUUUUUCUUAGUAGUUUAUUAUAUUUUUUCUAGUUUAAAAUAUUAGUGUAGUAUUUUUAAUUUUAGAUUAACUUUAAAAAGAAAAGAAGAACCAAUGCAAAAAUGCCACUUGGCAAAAAUUCCUUUCUAACUAACUCAUAUGCACUCACUAUCACAUUCUCUUAUUAGAAAUUUACCGUCUCUUCUAAAGACUUCUAGUGUGGCCCACAUAUAAUAAGAUAAUAAAUUAUUUACUUUGUCUCCCAAAGGAAAUAAUAUAUUAGAUAAUUGUAACGAUCCGACCGGUCGUUUUGAGCCCUAGCGCGUCGUUCGACAUUUUGAGGCCAUGAGCAGCUUCACUUCUAGUAUUAUGACUGAUACGCGUGAUCAGAAUUGAAUUUUGGGAAGUUCGGAGUUGAUUUGGGGAAAAAUUCUCAUUUCGGAAGCUUUAAGUUGGAAGAAUUGACUAAGGUUGGAUUUUUGAGUAAAUGACCUAGUAAUCGGGAUUUGAAGGUUCCAUUAGGUUCGUAUGAUGAUUUUAGACUUGGACGUAUGUCCGGAUCAGGUUUUGAAUGAACCGAGAGCGUUUCGGCGCCUAUUGUGGGAGUUGGUAUUUUUGAAUGCAAACUAAAUCGAAAGCUAAUGGAAGGCCGGAGGACCUAGCCCACUAAACUAAAGACUCGCUUGAUCACUGGAAUCAAAGCCAACAUAAGGAUGGGAGGGCAAACGUUUGGAAGAAUUUAAUAAAUUUGGAUUGAAGUGUAUUUCAAUUCUAUCGAUGUUUGUUUGGGAUUCAGAGUCUGGGAAUAGCUCCGUAUGGUGAUACUGGUCUUACGAGCGCGUAUAGAAGUGGAUUUGGUGGUCCGUAGGUUAUUUCAGAGUCAUUUGGCGAAAGUUAUAAAUUUGAAGGUUUUUGAGAAGAUUGAUCGGGAGUAAACUUUUUAAUAUCGGGAUCGAAUUCUGAUUCCGGAAGUCGAAGUAGGUCCGUAAUGUUGAAUGUGACUUGUGUGCAAAACUUGAGGUCAAUCGGACGUGAUUUGAUAGGUUUGGGCAUCGAAUAUAGAAGUUUGAAGUUCUAAAGUUCAUUAAGCUUGAAUUGAGUUGCGAUUCGUGAUUUCGAUGUUGUUUGAUGUGAUUUGAAGGCUUGACUUAGUUCGUAAUGUGUUUUGGGAUGUGUUGGUAUAAUUGGUUAAGGUCCCAAGGGCCUCUGGUAGAUUUCGGAUGGUAAACUGAUCGAGUUUGGACUUGGACGAAUUCUGGAGCUGCUGCUAUCUGGUGUAACCGUACCUGCGAGGUUUUGGCCAUAGGUGUGGAGACGCAAAAGCGGCCAUGAGGGUCGCAUAAGCGAUGCUGGGCGAGCUGGGCAGGAGCGCAGAUGUGAGGGCAUGUCUGUCGCGCCCCCUUUUUCUCGCGAAAUCGGGUUUUGACAUUUUUGGGACAACACCUUUCCUUUUGGAAUUGGGUAAGGGAUUUGAAGAGUCGCCACCUAACGGAUUAAGGUGCGUUAGGGCACCUAAAACAGUUAACUAAUACAACCAAUUUACGUCACCAGAGAACGGGUAAGGGCUUACCUUGAGGGGAAGGUGAUAGGCACCCCUCAAGGUCCACCACGGUGGGUCCCGACCGAACUAAAUUAAGCGAAUUAGUCUUUGAAAGAAAGUUAAACAAUUUAAAACAAAUGGAUAAUUACUUUAAAACAAGAAUUAAAGAGGUCCUACGUUUUUUAGACUAUAAGAUCAUUUCCAUGCAAUACUUGGUAACUUUCCCCAAGUAGGGGUGCUACACAUAGCGUUAACGCACAUGUCAUCAUUUCCUUUACUACCCGAUUACUAUCUUUCAGUUGUUACCUAAGCGUUCUAAUAGCUUCUAAUGCGUACUUUAUGUGUGCACUACCCGUCCUUUACUUAUGAUUCUAGAGGUAUUUAGGAUCUCUAUUUUGGAUAGUUCUAGACUGACCUACAUUGUUUAAAGUGAGAAAAAGCUAGGCGACAAACAAAAUUCAAAUAGGACUAUCAUGUAAGGAGCAAACAAGGGCUCAUAUUAACCUCCACAAAUAGACAACAAAUGCACGCAGUUAAAUCAACAUGUUUCUUUAAUUAAGGAUCCUGUAGACAGGGUAUCUAGAUAAGCAGAAAUAGAAUGCAGAACAACAGUUUACUAAGGCGGGCAUCUGGACCUAUCAGUUUUGCCUACUGAUUUUAUUAAUACUCUGUAUCUGGGCACGUUUUCAAAUGGCAAGAAAUCACAAUUUUAGUCCUAGAAUUCUUUAAUUACCCUAUCAGUUUGCAUAAGUAAUAACCGGGCAGAAUCCUAUAAAUAUGGUAUCUAAACUGUUAAUUAAGGACUACAGUUUAUAAACGGGUCACUGAUUUUAAUAGGUAGAUUUUAUCCUUUAAAUCCUACAGGCAUGCUUUCUAAUUUACAGAAUUAAUUACCCCUAUAGGUAUUAUUUCUAAGUGUUGAAACUGAUAGUUAGUGUUAUUUCCUAUAGACAUGAUAUCUAAGUGCAAAACUGAUUUUAUGUUUAUUUCCUAUAGGCAUGAUAUCUAAGUGUAGAGCGAAUUUUUUUAUUUGUUUCCUAUAGGCAUGAUAUCUAAAUGGGCAGAGACGUUAACAGAAUGUCAUACAAACUUAGUAACUUGCACAAGUACGUGAUCUCUAAUGCAUAUUGAGAUUUGAAAAUAUGCGUGAAACAUGAGUUCUUGAUGCAGAAUUGAUAAAACAACCGAUAAACAGGAUUCUAGGAUGCCAAGUAUGAACUCCAGAUUUCAAGCGCUGAGACAAGAUCCUAUAAGCAUGAUUUCUAAUAGUAUGCACACGAAGAAUCAUCACAACAACCUACAGAUAUGGUUUCUACCCGAUCAUGAUAAAGAUAUAUAAAAAUCCCUCCCCAACUUUUACUAAUAACCCCAUAUUUGUUUUAUAAGGAUUAUUACAUCAUUACAGACCAAUAUGAAUGAAUUACACAAAGCUAUUCAUUACACUAUAGGGAGCCUUAGCAGGCCCAAUAUCAACCUAGAAACCAGACUUUCAAGCAAGCAAAUAUGAUGUACACAGGUAGUCCAUCCAUAAUGCAUAAAUGGGCUUUUGAUGUUGUGGACUAUGAAGAUGUGGCCAAAGUUAGCUAGAUGGUGAUAUAUGUUAUGAUUAGAUCAUUGAGGACUUUGGUGGGUUAUUUAUCUAUUUAUGGAUGACCAGAGUUGAUUCGGGGCCAAUUGGUAGGCCUGUUGAGGAUGUGUAUCCUACACGGGGUCGGAUUUGUUGACUCACCACAGUUAGUGUUUGAGGGGUGAGUCAGUCGGUUAGAGUUGAGCUUAUUCGUGUUCUGAUAUGUUCUAUGAGUUACUCUUCUAUGCUAUAUGCACACAUGUUGCGGUUCUAUUUGGGCUUUAUAGCAGAAUUUGAACGAGAUGGGUAUUAGGGUGUUGAAUAACUGAUUGCACAUUUGGUGAUGUUCUUUCCGGUCGGUGGUAUUGUGUUAUUGGUUCCUCCGUGGUUAUGGUCAUGCACCUUGGGUACUGGAUGUUGAAUUGCGCGUGGUCAUUGAUUUUAAGCAUUUUGUCUGGAGGUAUUUCAUAUAGACCAGUUUUUGGAUUGGGUCACGCAUUGCAGAUGGGGUAUGUCCGGAUAUGAUCCUUUGUGAUUGAUUCAUGUGUUUUGGUUCUACGGUGUGUGAGGGGUUCUUAGCAUUGCGUUCUGGUGGUACUUGUUGAGCUUGUAGUAUGGUUCUCUCAUUUGAGUCAUUUUCUAUGUUUGACUACACUUAAAUUGUUGCGUAUUGGUGCACAAAUUGCACGAUUUGUGGCUUAAGGUUUUAUUGGUGUGGCAUGUCAGUAGGGUGGUUGUAUUUGAUAAGAUGACGUCAUUGGACCUAGAAUGAGUGCUAUCGGAUUUGAUUAAAGUGUGUUUGGAGGAAUAAUAUCGGGAGUCAGCUUGGGAUUUGGCUUUGGUUCUGAUUGGACGAGAGAGGGUUCCAUGACUUGUUGGUCUGAUGAGUAGUUAUUAGUUUCUACGUGUUUCUUUCAUCAUUGUCAGUGUACGAAGGUUUUAGAACGAGGUUUUGUUUGAUAUGAGAUUCAUUAUAGGUAUUGGUGUGUUUUUAGCAGCUGUUGUGGUCAAAAGGUAUAGUUGUAAGCAUCUGAGUUAUGUGGUACGUCAUGUGAUUACAUUAUUGGUUAUGGUUAUGGAUCGAUAUAGCUUGUUCAGACUUAAAUAAUGUGUAUAUGCGAGAUUCGGGUAUUGUAAGGAAUUUUGGAUGUGGAAAUUCGAUUCUAAGGUUGGAGUAAUGAUAUUCAGUUAUGUUGUGUUGUCAGGCUUAUAUGGAUUAAGGUGACGUGCGAUCACCCCUAGGUAUGUGCAUGGUAAGGUUACACGGCGGUUUGAUGGCCUUGGAACGAAUCUUGGCACGUUCAAGGACUAACGUAUGCUUAAGUGAGGGAGAAUGUAACGACCCGACCGGUCGUUUUGAGAAUUUUCACUUCGCUUGGUAGUUUGAGGACACGAGUAUCUUCGCAUGAUGUAUUAUGACUUAUGUGAAUCAUCGAUUUUGGUUUUCAAGUUGUUCGGAAUAGAUUUGGAAGAAUGAACUUUAUGAUUGAAGCUUUAAGUUGGAAGAGUUGACCAAGUUUGACAUUUGUGUAUUUAACCCCAGAUCGGAGUUUCGAGGGUUUCUUUAGGUCCGAAUGGUGAUAUUAGACUUGGGCGUAUGCCCGGAUUUGCAUUUGGAUGUUUCUUAAAGGUUCUAGCGUUAAUUGGCGAAAGUUGGCAAUUUGGAGUUUUGGAAUGUUCAUAAGUUUGACCGAAAGUUGACUUUGGUGAUAUCAGGUUUAGAUUUUAGUUUCGGAAGUUGGAAUAGAUUCUUUAUGUCAUUUGAAACUUGUGUGCAAAAUAUGAGGUCAUUCCGAGCUGAUUUGAUAUGGUUCGACACGAGUUUUGAAAGUUGAAAGUUCAAAAGUUUAUUAAGUUUGAUUUGAGGUACGAUUUGUGAUUUUUUAUGUUGUUUGAUGUGAUUUGAAGCUUCGAAUAAGUUUGUAUCGUGAUUUAAGACUUGUUGGUAUGAUUGAAUGGGGUCGUGAGGGCUCAGGUGUGUUUUGGAUCAUUGGUUGAGAAACUAGUUAAGUUAAAGAUUUGGAGUUUGACCAUGGUUAAUAUCGGGUCAUGAUGACCUCUUUUCGGUGUUUUGAGGGCGCGAGCAUGUUCGUAGCAUGUUUUAUGAUUGAAAUGUAUAUAUGGUUUAUAUAUGGUUUGCUAAAACGAAAAUCUUUCAUUUCUAAUUUUCUGGUGUAAAAUAACUAUGAAAAUGUCAUUUUUUAUCCCUUAAAUUUCCAGAUUUCAUUUAAAACUUCAAAUCAUCAUAUCUCCCUUAUUUUAAGGCCAAAUUGGGUGAUUCAAAAGCUUAACUUGACUCAAAUUUCAUAAGAAAUCCAUUAGAAGCAUCAAAAGCGAGUUUUAGGAUUAUUUGGCACACGAAACAAGGCAACACAACUGGGCAAAAAAAUAUUUAAUAUCGAGAGUUUGUUUAUUUGGUCAUAUUUUGGGUUGGAGAGCUCGGAUUUGGGCAAUUUUUUAGGCGAUUUUCACCGUAUGAAUUGGGUAAGUAUAUUUUUACUCGAUUUUGGUUAUAUUUCGUGAAUCUAAUUUCAUUUUUGGUAAUUGAAUUGUGAAUUUUAAAGAGAAAAUUGGGGGGGGGGGUUGUCCAAAGUUUCAUAGAGUGAAUUUUUGAAUUUUGAACAUCAAUUCGGAGUCGGAUUUGGGUGAAACUAGUAUGGUUGAACUCGUAAUUGAAUGUGUUAUCAGAUUUUGUAAGUUUUAUUGGGUUCUGAGGCACGGGCCAGGAUUUGACUUUUUGUCAAUUUCGGAAUUUUGAUUAAAGAUUUGACCUUUAUCGAUUGAGUUUGUUCCCUUUGAAAUUAUUUGAUAUAUUUGAGUUGCUUUUGGAUGGUUUAAAGCCGUUCAGAGGUCGGUACGCACAGGAUGGCAUUUUAGAGCAUCGUUUGGCUUGCUCGGUAAUGGAUUUGGCUUGUUCGAGGUAAGUAGCACUUCUAAACUUGAUGCUGAAGGUAUAAACCCCCGAAUUGCAUGUUAUGUGAUUAAUAUUGAGGUAACACGCAUGCUAGGUGACAGGCGUGUAGGUGUGCACCGUGUGAAUUGUGAUUUAGUCGAUUCCAUGGAACUGUGUAGCUAUCCUCUCUGUAUAUUUUUACUGUACUCUAUGUGUUAGAACAACUGAGCUGUAAUUCAUGCUAGAAAUCAUACUUAGACAUAUAUUGGUAUUAUUGGGACCCUCUGAGGUCAUUUCUGUUGUUGAAUUAUAUGUUUAAAUUGAAGUUUUGACUCAGUCAUCUUUAUUCAUUGCAUAUCAUAUCUCAGUCUCUGUUGCUCUUUAUUGAUACAUCAUAUCAUCAUUUUUAGGCUAGUUUCAUGACAUUGUGAGCCCGAGACACUGGAGAGUUUGAUAACUGAGUGAGGCCGAUGGCCUAAUUGUGAGUGAUAUUUAUAGGAUCGGGCUGCAUGCCGCAGCAUGCUUUAUUGACUUAUGCUUGGAUUUGGCUAAUUAUAGCGCUUGGGCAGAGGCAUCCCCAGUGAGCGAAAUUGAUUUAUAUUGCGAGAUGGAUCUUCCCCAGGCAUGGAUAUUGCCCGAAUCAUUUAUAUUGGGGAUGGAUCUUCCCCUAGGUUGAUUGGCCUUAUACACUACUAAGUGACUGACUGUCAGUUGAUAUAUAUAUAUUUAGGAUGGAUCUUCCCUGUGCUAGAUUGGCCAUAUACAGUAGUGAGUGACUAAGCAUGUCGAGUGAUUGAGCAUGAUGAGUGGAAAGUGUGAGACAAUGAGAUUGAGUAUUCUGAGAGUGUGAGUACAUGAGUUCAUCACUGAGAUACAUUGCAUUUGACAUGCAUACUUGAGAUAUAUGCAUAGAAAUGCAUUUCUUUCUGCUACUCGAUUUUGAUGACAUUCAUGAUUUCACAUGCAUAGUGACAUAUAGGCAUAAAGAUGUACUUUCUUCAUGCUAUCUGAAAAAUAGAACAUCAUAUUUAUUGUUGAAAAGUUUUGGAAAAAAUUACAAUUUUACAAUCCUACUCAUAUUUUGGUGAUUUCGGUAAAAGAAUUGGAUUUUCACUAAUAUACUUGAAAAGCAUGCCUAUAUUUCCAGAACUGUAAACGAGAUGAGCAUCUUGUAUCUGAGUAUGUUUCUUGUACCAUUAUUAUUAUGUUGUUAUGAUCUGUUGUUGUCUAUUGGUGUUAGACUCCGACCUCUGUUCCAGCUCGUCACUACUUUCAACCUAAGGUUAGGUUUGUUACUUAUUGAGUACAUGGGGUUGGUUGUACUCAUACUACACUUCUUCACCUUGCGUACAGAUGUUGGAUGCUGAUGUUGCUGUGUUUGACGAGAGCUAGAUUUGAAGAUGUACCUGCGCUCCGGUUAUAGCUGCCUCUUGUUCAUGGUAACUCUAGACUUAUGAAAGAUCUGUUCAUGUAUAUUUCAAACAAAUGAUGUACUUUAUUUCAUACCAGCUUUGUAAAUUCUAAAUCUUAGACGCUCAUGAUUUGUACUACCAGUCUUUGGGAAAUGUAUAAGAUUCAAAUAUUUUCUUUCACUUAAUUGUCUUAUUAAAUUUCAUUGGAAUUGGAUAGUUGUUAAUUGGCUUACCUAGCGGGUUGGUUUAGGUUCCAUCAUGACUAGUUGGAUUUUGGGUCGUGAUAGACGUAGAAACUUUAAAAAAUUUAUUUAGUUGGAAAACAUUUUUAUGUACCUAAAACCAAAAAGAUUACAAGUGGAAUGACCCAUAUCAUUAUCCUUUGGACACCUUUACAUGAUCAAUGAGGGACAAGUGUGCCCUCUAAUACCCACUCGCACGUGUGAUCGGGUUAUAGGAUUUACAUCCGAAUUUUUAUGAAUAUUUUAUUUAUUUUUUUCCUAUUUUAUUUUUCACGUUUUUAUUAUAAGAUUAUCAAGUAGGAAAAAAGAAGUUUCAACAGGAACAUGCAUAAAGUAGAGGGAGAUAAAUUAAGCUCUACAAGUUAAUGAGUGGGUUUUAAGCAAUAUUAUUAGUGACUCUGACGAGUUGAAUUGAGAGAGAAAGAAACUCAAAGUAGUUCCAUGGGCUAAGUUUAGAGAAAAACCCGAGAGUGAUAAAAGAUGAAGAGAGAAAGCUAUUAUACAAGAAUAAAGAAGAAUAUAUCGGCAUUGGAGUGAUUUGUGUGGCAAAAGAUGGAUGGUGCAACAAUAUGCUUCUAAAGAUUGAGAGUUACCUCCUGUAAUUUUUCUCUUGGAAAGACAUAUGCAUACUAUUUUUAGCAUAUAACAAGAAAAAAGUUAAAGAACUCAUAGGAAGAGGACAUAACUGCAAUAACCUAUUUUUUGGACUACAAUACCGUUUAUGCUAAUUUUUAAUAUUUGAGAUUUUAAAAUUAAUAAAAUUUUAUCUAUUAAAAUUCUUAUUAAAAAUAUGUAGGAAGGUUUAAUAAAAUCAAUUUCAUAAGAAUCCUCUGUAUUGCCAAUACCUUACCACUCCAUAAUAUCCAAUACCAAGAAAAAAUAAAAGUGAUAUUAAAUGGACUGCACAAAGAGUUAAAAUUAAGAAAAAAAAUACCCCCACAAUAAUAUAUUUUUAUAUUAUAUUUGAACUAUUUUUCUACUCAAAUAAUAUUUUUUAAAAUUAAUUUUUUGUGUAAUAUUAAAAAAUAUUAACUAAGAAAAUAUUUAAGAAUAUAAAUAUGUGAGAAAGAGAGAAAAAAUGGUUGGUAAGAGUCAAUACCACCAAUGAUUUUACAAACAUAAAGAUCUAAAAGUGAAAAUCUUUUACUCUUUGAAAAUAAAAUUUAUGAUUGAUAAAAUUAUAAUUAAGAUUAAAUUUUCUAAACAAGAAAUGAACUAAUAUUAAGACCGAAUCAAGACAGAAUAAAUAUUUUUUUAUGUUAAAACUAAAUAGUUAAAUCUUUUAACUAAUUAUUUAGCAAGAGAAUCCAAUUCAAUUAUUUUUUAAAUUCAUCAUAUGAGUAAAAUUCUUAUUCAAGUUAUAAAAAAAACUUAGGGUACAUAAAUUUAUUCUAUAAAAGAGCGUUAUAAUUUGGUUAGCUCCGUUGGGUGAUUUUGGACUCAGGAGCGCGUUCGGAUUAUGAUUUGGAGGUCCGUAGUAGAAUUUGGCUUGAAAUGACAAAAGUGAAAAUUUUGAAAAGUUUGACCGGGAGUGGACUCUUUGAUAUCGGGGUCGGAUUUCGAUUUCGGAAGUUGGAGCAGGUCCGUAAUGUCAAAUGUGACUUGUGUGCGAAAUUUGAGGUCAAUCGGACGUGAUUUGAUAGGUUUCAGCAUUGGUUGUGGAAGUUAAAGUUUCAAAGUUCAUUGAUUUUGAAUUGAGGUAUGAUUCGUAUUUUUAGCGUUCUUUGAUGUGAUUUGAGGCCUCCACUAAGUCUGUGAUAUGUUUUGAGACUUGUUGGUAUGCUUGGGCGGGGUCCCGAAGGGCUCGGGUGAGUUUCGUGGUGGUUUCAGACCAUUUUUAGUUGCUGCUUUUUGGCUUCAAUGGUGUACAGUGCGUUAGCAUAGAUCUCGCCGCGUUAGCAUAGAGAAAAUUUGGAAAAAUGGAGCUGUGCUAUGCGAUUGCGUAAGUCUUCCCGCGAUCGCAUAUAGUAAAAUAUCUGCUGCACUGACCCGACUUUGGAAGCUUAUAUCUCACAAUUUAUAAGGAUUUUGAAGAUGAUCCAAAAAAAUAAAAGUUGUAGCCCUUGAUUUCCAGUUUUCAGAAAGGUAAACCAAUUGUAAUUUGGAGUUUUGUACAAAAUGUUAUGAUUAUUAUACUAGAGGUUGUCCGGAAGAUUUGGAGAAGGCUGUUGGAAAAAUUUGUUCUACGCGAUCGCGGGGUGGUGGCCGCGAUCGCAUAGGGUAAAAGAAGGGCUGGAAAAUUGUGUGUUUGGCUAUCGCAUUAUUUUGUCCGCGACAGCAUAGGGUAAAUGCCUGGGCAGAUUAUAAAGUACUCUAUUUCGAGGGUUUCAGCCAUUUUUGCAUUUUUAGAGCUAUGGAGCUCGGAUUGAGGCAAUUGUUGAAGGGAUAUUCAGAGAAACGAUUGGGGUAAGUGUUCUUCACUUAUUUUUGGUUAAAUUUCAUGAUUGUAUCUUGAUUUUUAUCAUCUAAAUUGGGAAUUUGGGAUGAAAAUUGGGGGGGGGGGGGGAAAUGAAAGAGAAUUGGAGAGAUGAUUUUGGAGAUUUGAAUGGCCAUUUGAUGUCGGAUUUUGAUGAAUUUGGUAUGGGUAGACUCGUGAGUGAAUGAGUUUUCUAGUUUUGUAACUUUUGUCAGAUUCUGAGACGUGGGCUGAGGGCCGGGUUUAGUGGAUUUCGAGAUUUGUGCUUAAUUUGAUAGUUUUUCUUGUGGAAUUCAUUCCAUUAGCGCAUGUUGAUGGUAUUGUUAUGGUUGUGAAUAGAUUUGGAGCGAUUGGAGGCCGAGUCGAGAGGCAAGGGCAUUGCGGGUUAGAGUUUUAUCCGGUUUGAGGUAAGUAAUGAUUGUAAGUGUUGUCCUGAGGGUAUAAAACCCUGAAUUUCAUAUCGUUGUGCUACUUUGAUGUGACACACACGUUAGACGAUGAGCAUGGAGUCGUGUGCCGUUAGGGAUUAUGACUUGGUCCGUCCCGUAUGACUAUUAAGUCGCGUAUUUGAUUGAAAAUUAUUUGAUAUCAUUGUGUUUUGGAAAGUAUUCUAUGUUUUAGGCUGGAUGUCAUGUUUGAGCCUCGUGCCAACUAUUUUGGACCCUUAGGGGCUUUUUACUACUAUUCCUCACUGUUUUGACUUAUUAUAUGUACUCAGUCAUGCUGUAUUUUACUGAUUUCAUAACUCAGCCGUAUUUACUCUGUUUUGAUACUUUAAAUGCUAUUUUGGGCUGAGUUUCCUGUUUUACUGUUGCCCGAGUGGCUUGAGUGGUUUCUGACUGAGUGAGGUUGAGGGCCUGUGUUGUGAAGAUAUUAUGGGAUCGGGCUGCAUGCCGCAGAAAGUUGUUACUGAGGCCGAAGGCCUGAUUGAUUUAUGCCACAAGGUGGCUUGUUGUUAUGUGAGGCCCAUGGCCUGAUUGAUUUAUGCCACGAGGUGGCUUGUUGUUAUGUGAGGCCGGGGGCCUGAUUGAUUAUACCACGAGAUGGCUUGUUAUAGUGCUUGGGCUGUAGGAGCCCCUCCGGAGUCUGUACACUCUCAGUGAGCGUGGGUACCCAGUGUGAGUGAUGUGAAGUAGCCCGAGGGGCUAUUGUUGAUUCUUGUUUUUGCCCAAGGGGCGGUUCUUGAUUCAUGUUAUGCCCGAGGGGCUAAUUGCGAAUGAUUGUGAGGUAGCCCGAGGGGCUGGUUCUGUUGAUAUUAUGCCCGAUGGGCGAUUUAUGUUACAUAUUUUUGCCGGAAGGGCUAUUUACGUUUCUAUCAUUUUUACUCACUAUUUUAUCACUCGUUUUAAACUAUUGAAAGAUGUUUUCUUUUUAAUAAGAAAAGGUUUUACUGAAACUGAGCUUGAUUUACGAGGAAAUUGAUUUUGUAUUGUUUUGGAGACAUACUGUACUCACUGUGGCAUUAUGAUGUGGAUUAUGUAUUUUCUUACUGCUCAGUAUUUAUUUACUUUUAUUACUUACUGAAUUGGCGUACUUAUAUUACUCCCUGCACCUUGUGUGCAGAUUCAGUUAUUUCUGAACCCGGUAGCGGGUGUUGAUUUCUCAGUGGUAGAUUCAUCGAAGUUAGCAAGGUAGCUGCCUGACGUUCGCAGCCCUGCUCUUCUCCCUCUUAUCUUCCUUAGAUUGUUUUUAGUAUAAUUUCAGACUCUUUAUUGUAUUCAGACCUUAGUAGAUGCUCAUGACUUGUGACACCCCGAUGUCGGGCUAAUGUAUUUAUUCCGCACUAGUUAUUUAGACUUAUGUUUUGAGAUUUCUUAUUAAUUAAUGGCUUAAAAAUGACUUUUAUAGAAUAAUGGUUUGAUUUAGGAAUUAUGUUGGCUGGCCUAGUUUCACGAUAAGCGUCAUCACGAUAGGGUCGGUUUUGGUAUCGUGAUAGUAAAAAUGUUAGUAUAUUAUUGAGAAUCAAAAUAUUAUACAAGUAUAUGAGGAAGCACAAUCAAAGCUAAAUCCUAAACAAGAACAAGCUUUCAAGACUAUACUAUAAAGAGUCAACACUAUUAUAACAGGAUUAUUCUUUGUAGAUGCCUCCGACAGAAUCAAAAUAAUAUUUCUAUGUCAUGUAUUAUUCGUAAAUAUCAUAUCAAGAGACAUGACACUAUUAGCAAUAAUAGCAAGUGAUAUACUAACAACGAUUUUAUUGCGAGGCCACCCACUUUAGAUUUUAUAAACCUUUUCAAACAACUUAAAUAACCAUCACAAAUAUAUCAAAGAAGAGCAAUGGUGCUAAAUUUAUAAGGAAAACAAAAUUGAUAAUAUGGAAUGAAGCACUUAUGGCUAAGUGUCAAACGAUCGAAAUAAUUGCCCGUAGUUCUAGAUAUAUAUAUUUGAUAUUAAUGAACCGUUUGAUGGAAAAUUAAUGGUUUGGGAUGUGAUUUAUGUCAAGAACUACCUGUAGUUCCAAAAUCUAUAAAAGCAGAGACUGUAAAAGCUAGCUUGCUAAAGUUAUACUUCUGGCCUCAAAUGAAAAAGAUUCAACUGACAAGAAAUAUAAAGUAAGAAGAGAUCCAGUAUUCAGUGUUUUCUUGCUUCAUGUCAGAAACAAAGAAGAGCAUCUAUUAAAAGAUGAUUUGGCUCUUCCUGAACACUUGGUUAUCAAUACCAAUGGUAAUAGUUGUGCAUUUAAUAAGAGAAAUAUUUCUACCAUUAGAUUAAAGCGUAAUUUGUGCAAAUCGCAUGAUAGAAUUAAAAAGAUAACUUAACUAGCAGAAAUGAAUAUGUUGAUCAACUAAAUAAAAGGUUGAUUGCAGAAUUUUAUAGUAAAAACAAAAUAUUAUUCUGUUUUUGACUCAGCAGAAAAUGAUACCAAUAAUUACUACAAAAAAAAAAUACUUAAAUACUUUAAUACCAAAUGACCUUCUACCAUACAUGUUUGUUGUCAAGUUUAUUAUUUCUUACGUAUGUUAGUGUCAUCGUUUAUAUAAUAGACUCAGUUAAAAUUGAUCUUCUAUUGCAUAUAAGUUGAUUUUGAAUAAAAAUAUGCCCGUCAUACUAUUUUUAAACUUAGAUACUCUGAAUAGUUUAAUAGCACACAAAUGGUAUAUAGAAGUUUUGACAAUAACGUCAUACAUGCAAAAAUUAUGAUACUGGUCAAUGUGCUUCUAGAUAUAUUCUUAUCCUUAAAUUCAACUUCAUUUCCGAAACUAAGGAAUAUCCUUUUGAAUUUGUAUGAAAAUAAUUUUUAGUACGUUUAUGUUUUGCAAAUAUAAUAAAUAAUGCACAAGGAAGAACAUCCUAAAUAUUGGACUAUAUUUACCGCAAUAUAUUUUCUUGCACGAACAACUGUAUGUUGCACUUUAAAAAAGAUAUCAAGUCAACAACAAGAGUUCUGGUUAAGGCAGAGCAACCAAAACAUUAGGAGGAAACAUACACAAAAAAAUAUUGUCCACAAAGAAGUGUUCGUUAAGAUACCAUCACAUUAAAUACUUUUAAACUAUAAUAAAUAAUUAUCCAACAACAUGACAAAAUCGAUCAUUUGUGUAAGUUUUGAUGAUGUCUUUUUAUUUUUAAUUCAUGUAUUAUGUUAACGUAAUAAUAUUUUUCGGCAUUUAGACGAUUGUUGUAUUAUUAUACAUAAAAUUUCUCUCAUUAAUUACAUUUUAUUGUUCCUUCAUAUAAAUAAAUGUUUAAAUCAUCACGUACCAUUAUUAACGUGCAACACAUGUUUAUAGAUGCUAGUAUAUAAUAUAUUGACACAUUUAAAUAUAUUUGAUUUUUUCCGUUUAUUUUUAUAAAGUGGAAAAUGGAGUGUAUAUAAAGAAGAUAAAUUCUCUUAUCCUUUUCUUGUCUAAAAUGACAAAUUAUGACGACAUGGAGAGAGACUUGGGGCAACAACCCUGCUACUUGUACUCAUAAAUAUUGAACCAGGAGAGGAAACAGAAACGAAUAAAUUUAUGAAAACCUUUUUCUCCUGAAACAAAACUCUAGCUCUUGAAUCCAAUAUCAAUGAUCUCAAUUAGCUAGCAUAUGAGUAUGUGGCAAGAAUGAAGAAAUUGGAAGAUAUCAAUCGUUCUUCUUCUUCAACGACCAAGUAUUCAAGAAUGGCUUACAACAAUGAAAACAGGAGCAUCAGGUAAAAUUAAAAUUUUCUCAAGUAUUCUAGGCAUGUGGCUCUUCGUAAUUUCUAUUCAUGUUCCACAUAAAUAUGACAUACUAUAAUAGUAGUCUUUUCAUUUGCUUCCCCCAAAUGUUCUCGCACGAAACGAAUCCGAAUAUAGAUAGUUCAAGUAUAUGAAUUUUAUUUAAGAUGAGUACUGUAAUGAUAUAUGGCUUUUAAUGUAUUAAAAGAGAACUACUACUAUUUCUUUUUUUUUUUUUUGGUUUCACAUUCGAAAGUGCUUCUUAUAAGAAUUUAUAUUCAACACUCGAAUUCGAAAUAUCUGAUUAAACAUAAAAAGAUUUCUAUCAAUCAUACCAUAAUGCUUGAUGAUAUAUUAAUCAGUAUUAAUUAGAAGCAUAUUCACAUUUUUAUACAAAACAUUAUAAAAGUAUUGUUUAAAGGUUAAAAAUUCUUUUAACUUUACCUGAGCAUUUUGAUUUAUUAACUUUUUACUAUGAGUCUUCCCAGUUUUACCAUAAUAGUAAUAUUUGAUAUAACAGAUUAGGAACUAAAAUCUUUUGGAAAGACAUUUAUCUGUCUUUGAUGGGCGGAAAGAAAACUCUUACUGUGUAAUGUAUCUUUUAUUUCGAACCAACAUUUGAAAAUAUAAGGAUUCUUUUAGUUUAAAUCACUAUCACAAAAUCGUUAUCUCAUAUCAAUUCUGCACCUUGCACAAUUACAAUAUAAUAGGUCAAACAAUUUGAUAUCUAACCAAACACGAAAAAUAAUCUAGAUAUAAUUUUGCAAAGAAAACAUUUUGUUAUGAUACACUUUUAUCGGAUUCCUUUUUUCCUUUUGAAAUCUACUUGAUCACCCAUUUGCAAAGAAGUUAGAAGAGGCUAAAAUAGUUGUUGCAUUCAAUGCAUGAUUAUUUCGUCUUAGUUAUAUUUCGUUUAUAAAAUUUACCCCUUUUUUAUUCAACAAAAAUAUACUUACACACACUAUUAAAUUAAUUAAUGAAUACAAAAUAUAUACUGUAUGUAAGUUCUCAUAAUUCAAUCAUAAAAGAUUAAAAGUAAUAAGUACUCACACUUUAAUUUAAAAUAUUAUAGUUAAAUAAAUUGAUUUUGAUUUAAAGGAUGAAUGAAUCUGUGACACUUGUCACGUUACAAGCGAGUUCGAAAGAAAAAGUUAACUCCUAUUAGUGAACAAGCUAGUAGUCGUACCCGUGUAAUGCACAGUCAAUAUUAAAAAAAACUAUUAGUUAAAUUUAAUUGUAACCGGGCUUGUUUGAACAUUAUAGAUCGUAUUACUUUAAUAAGUUUCAAUUGUCAUCUUAUUUGUCAAUACGAUAUUCUCAAUAAUAAAAUCUCUAUUAAAUUAAAGGGACUUAUAUAGUUAUCGAAUAACUUUUUUGUUUAUAUUUUUUUUAUAUUAUAUUAUCCAAUGUUUAGUAUUAUUACAUUGUUAAUCGAAAUUUUUAUUAGCAUAUUAUUUUGUUUAAUAUUUUGUCGUAUUUUUUUUUAUGUAUAUAGGCUAUCAUUUUAGGAAGAAACUACUUCCAAAUUUAAAUUGAAUCUUUUUAUUUUUUUAGUUUAAAAUAUUUAAAAACUCUAACUUGAAACAACUCUCCAAUUUGAAUUGGCAAUCUUUUUUUUUUUUUAUUUUAUAGAUAUUUAAAUUCAAAAACGAUAACUAAUAAAUAAUUUCUAACUAAAUAACUAAUUAUGUCAUGUGGCUUUUUUCUAUACUGCCUUCGAAUUUUAUAGAUAUUUAAAUUAAAAAUAAUAACCAAUAAAUAAUUCUAAUUAAAUAAUUAAUUAUUAACUAAUUAUGCCAUGUAACUUUUUUUGUCUGCCACUUGACUCAAUGUGAGUUUUUUUUUGGUUUUUAAUAAUACACAGAAGAUAGAAGAUAGGUGAGUCAUGUGGAAGAAGAAGAAGACACGUCGCAUAGAAAAGGUCCAAAAUAGAGAAAGUGACAUAAGAAAAAGUUAGAAAAAGCCAUUGGAUUUAGAGAGAAAGAAGGACGUGCACAAACUGUGUGCCAUUUUCCCGUGCAAAACGUACGUAUUCAAUUGAAGUGAGCGGUUUUCUCGUCCACUGUUACCUCAAAACACUAUUCUGACGGUGUGUAGUAAUCAACUUUCCCCACUCUCUUCUUCACUCUCUCUACUCUAAUAUAUAUAUAUCCGCAAUCACAUAGGAGAAUAAUAUAGUCAGUUCAUUAAAAUUACUACUCUUGAACAAAAGAAUAAGUUACUGUAGCAGACAGAUAAAAAGAUACCAACAACAAUGUCAAGCAAUGCUGCUGGUCAGGUCAUUCGUUGCAAAGGUACUUCCUUUGAUCUCAGUUUUUUUUCCCUUGUCCAAUUAGGGGAGGAUUUUUUGAUCAGGUCAUUUUGUUGCAAAUUAAUGAGGUUUUCUGUUAGUAUCUUUUGACAAACAAAUUGAUCUGGUUUUGCCUCUUUUUUCUGAUUUCUUUUCGGAACUUUUUUUUUGGGCCUAAUUAUGGGUAGUAUUUAUUUUUAUUUUUGUAUAAUGAUUUCUGAUGUAUCACGGAUUCUGAUUAGAUGUGUAAUUUAGACGAAGUUGUUAAAGUUUGCUUAGUUAUUUGUUAGUACCAUUCCACACUCUUUUGUACAUUCUUAUAAAUGAGUUGUUUAGUAUUAGUAUAGUAAAGUCUUUCGGUUGUCACUAGUCACUGAAUAUAGAUUGUUUUUGUUCAUGAAAAAUAAAUGUAUUUUCUUGAGUAAUCUAAGUGCUUUUGAGCUAGGAAGCCAAACUGUGUCAUUCUUUUCAGAACAGAGGUAUUUGAUAAAGUAGUUUUGUCAUGCGUGUUCAUGGAUAACUCAGAGCUGUUGUAUUUGCAUGGUCUGUUUGGAUCAUUUGUUCUCCUGUGUGUGAUUAUGAGUGUGUUUUGACAAGUGGUUUCCUUUUCUGAAUCAAAUGUUAAUUGUAAAAAGUUUCCGUUUAAUUUCCUUUUCGGCAUCCAUAGUUGAGCAAAUCUUGAUAAAAUUAAGUUCUUUUUUAUGUACGUUUGAUUGAUUUGUCCGCGGACGAGUGAUAAUUGUGUUGUCAAUGUGAAUGUAUAAUGCAGCUGCGGUUGCAUGGGAAGCGGGGAAGCCAUUGGUGAUUGAAGAAGUGGAGGUGGCACCACCACAGGAAGGUGAAGUUCGCCUCAAGAUUCUUUUCACCUCCUUGUGCCAUACUGAUGUUUACUUCUGGGAAGCUAAGGUACUUUCUUAAAGCUUCUACUUUUGCUUGCCGCUAUACAUUUUAUGACUUCAUUGUUUGGUGAUGGCAUAAUCUCAACUAAUUUGUGUUUUACAUGGUAAUAUGUGUAUUUGCGCUGGGAAAUGGUAAUCAAAGCUAUUCCAGCUCCUGCACACCGCACUUAGUCAUUGAAUUAAGAGGUAUUUCAGUUGGGCUGGCUACGAGUCGUUUCUCCUAGCUUUCCAAUGAUUUUUGCACGGGCCUAUAAGAACAUGUCACCAAAUUAUUGGUAGUCGAUAACCAAUUCCCCAUUGUUAUUACGGGGACCUUUUCACAGUGCCAGUGCUAGUAUUUGAAUUGUGGAAUACUGCAAUUGGUCCUUUUCACAGUGGCAUUGUUAGUUUGUGAAUUGUAAGGAUUUGUGGAAUGCUGCAGUCAUAAGUGUACUUUUGCAUUUGAUUUUUAAUAUAGUGUUAGAAGAAAAUCAUGCGACGAUCUGGUUUCUAUAGGGUGAGAGCCUAACCACCACGAUAAUUUACAUAACUGUGUAAACUUUGGAUUCUCAAUUUUAAUUUUCUUUAUUGACCAUGGUUAUUGGGUGCUAGAAGCGCAAAUGAAUCUAUUCAAUAUAUGGAAAAGUGUGGUUGAAUGAUUACAUUAACCAGACACCCUAUUGGAAUGUACAAUGCUAUACUUAUGGUUAACCAUGUGAUACCAAAAGAAUUGUUUUAAUGAGGUUUUCUUCAAACCUUUAGUUGUCUUCUCUGUUUUAAAUUGUUUCAUGUGUGCUUUUAAUUCUCUAUGCUGCUAAUACUCGUUUUUGCAAUGAUGGUCAUUCCUGUAAUGGAAUUUUAUAGUGUUCCUUUUUGAAAUGUUUCACCUUAUCCCUUUUGUCCAUCUAAUUGGUGUACUUAAUGAUUUGAAAUCUCCUCUUUUGUUGCAGGGGCAAACACCACUAUUUCCUCGUAUUUUCGGACAUGAAGCUGGAGGGUAUGACAUUUUAUAUUAGUCAAAUUUUCUUAAAUUAUUUUCAAACUUAAUCAGUAUAUUCUAAAAUACAUUUCCAUUUGUGUGGCUAUAGAAUUGUGGAGAGUGUAGGUGAAGGUGUUACAGAUCUCCAACCAGGAGACCAUGUUCUUCCUGUGUUCACUGGUGAAUGCCAGCAGUGUCGACACUGUAAAUCAGAGGAAAGCAACAUGUGUGACCUCCUUAGAAUAAACACAGACAGGGGAGUUAUGAUCCAUGAUGGUCAGACAAGAUUCUCCAAAGAUGGCAAGCCAAUAUAUCACUUUGUUGGAACUUCCACCUUUAGUGAAUACACCGUUGUCCAUUCUGGAUGCGUCGCCAAGAUUGAUCCACAGGCACCACUUGACAAAGUUUGUGUUCUGAGUUGUGGGAUAUCAACAGGUUGGAUUUGAACUGUAGCCAAUUACUCAUUUGUUAAAUGAAAGAGUAGUUAUAAUUGGAUAUCUGAUGGAGUUCAUCUACUCUGAAGGACUUGGUGCAACUCUGAAUGUUGCCAAACCUACCAAAGGUUCUACUGUAGCUAUUUUUGGCUUGGGAGCUGUUGGCCUUGCUGUGAGUACAUAUUCCACCUAUUUUUCUUAUGUAGUUUUCGUUGUCAUGGCCGUGUGAAAUUUGAGAAUGUUUUCUUGUCAUUUUGACAAAAUUAUUAGGCUGCUGAAGGAGCUAGGAUUGCUGGGGCUUCUAGGAUCAUUGGCAUUGAUUUGAAUCCCAGCAGGUUCAAUGAUGGUGAGUGCAUUGGUUUUCUAUGAACAAGAAUGUCCAUAGUUAUUUCUCAUUAAAUUUUGGCACUGAUUCUAUGCUUUCCUUUAAAAUUUUCACAGCCAAGAAGUUUGGUGUGACAGAGUUUGUGAAUCCAAAAGAUUAUGAUAAGCCUGUCCAGCAGGUUUGUCCUUCACAUCUUCACUACUACACAUAGCAUAUCUUUGGGAGUCUGUUAACUCCUUACAACAUUACUUUUAUUAAUGGAGGGAUGAUUUUCAGGUCAUUGCUGAGAUGACAGAUGGAGGUGUUGACCGAAGUGUCGAGUGUACUGGAAAUGUCAACGCCAUGAUCUCUGCUUUUGAAUGUGUUCAUGAUGUAAACUUAAUAUCUGAAAAUCUUCUUGAUCUCUUACGUUCUAACACGGUAGAGACAAAUGUAAGUUCAACUUAAUGUUACUUGAUUACAGGGUUGGGGUGUGGCGGUGCUUGUUGGCGUGCCAAACAAAGACGAUGCGUUCAAAACUCAUCCAAUGAAUCUGUUGAAUGAGAGGACUCUCAAGGGCACCUUCUUUGGCAACUACAAGCCCAAAACUGACCUUCCAUCUGUGGUGGGCAAGUACAUGAAUAAGGUGGUUCUACACCAUAACAAUGUAACCUAUACACAGACAUUUUAAAGAAUGUUUACAAUAUCAAUGAAGUUUUACUCGUGUCUUUUUGGCCGUGAGGGCAUAGAAGUUAAACUUUAUUUCUAGAUUUAUCAGUCUAUGUUUUUAGCUAAUUGGUGAGCUGGAAAAAAUUUCAGGAGCUAGAGCUGGAGAAAUUCAUUACCCACCAAGUUCCAUUUUCAGAGAUCAACAAAGCAUUUGAGUAUAUGCUGAAAGGGGAAGGUCUACGUUGCAUGAUCACCAUGGGACAUUGAAAUGUUAACUAGGAAGUAAAGACCUAGUAUUUAUAGUCUCAUACUAAUAAAACAAUAUUUUAUUAGAGUAAUGAUGUAAGUAGUGUUUGAAGCCAAAACAUAUCUGUUGUCAAAGGCUUUAGUUUAAUUUCCAUAUUAUGUAAUAAUUUUACUCUUAUGUUUUGAACGGCUUAAGUAUGAUUUCCAUGUUAUAUUAUGCUAUUCCGCUGUUACCUUGCUUGUCUUGCAGAUUCAGUUUUAAGGGGAAAAAGAAAACUCUGUUCUUUAGUUUUUAAAUCACCAAAAAGGAGGUAACUAAAUAUAAUUAGGGAUUUGAGGGCGAGCUCCUAGACGGAGCUAGAAUUGAAUUUGAAGAUUGCAGGUUCAUUAUUCUAAGCAUUUUAAGUUACUGGGUUCUAAAUUGUUAAUUUAUAACUAAUAAAUGAACUUUUCAAGGCAAAUAUAUGAAUUGAAUCAAUUUGGGUCCCAACGUGGUCGAAUAGACGUGGGUCACACCCAUUGUACAUUAGGUGAGCAGGCAUUGUAAUCCUCUUUUUCAUCAUCAUUUGGGUCCAAUUCCAGCAAUUUCUCGACAAUCUUAACGUAGGCGUUUUCGUCCGCUGCUAUUGCUCCGCAUAUGCUUGCUAAUAUUAGGUCUCCACCCUCUUUGGCUUGCCUAGCAGUAUUGCCGUGCGACACAAAUGUUGCUCUAUUUAUACACAAAGCCUAAGUAGGGAUUAUUCUCUGUUCCUGGAUCCUAAAGUCAAUGAUAUAUAUAUAGACUAUGUUAACUUCUUUUGAUGAAGGAUUUAAGCUACGUACGUACCCAUACAAUUGUAAUGAUUUUUUUAUGCACGAUCAAUAGUAUAACUUAAUUUAACAUGUUAAUUAAUUAUAGUUUUUAUCAAGUUACAAAAUAAUACUUAUCAUAGAUUUGUGUACGAUAACAGCUUUUAUGUUAAAUUUUACUUUUCUAUAACAUUUUUUACCUACAACAAUUACAUCAUCUUUAUGACAGUACACUCUUUAUAUAAUUAUCUCUCUAUGACAGCCAUGUAGAGUUUUUAACAUUACUAAUAAUAAGUCUAGAGAUUAAGACCAAAUAUUUUGAAACUGUAAUGCACCACUUUUGAAGUUUAUGAUAAUCAUAAUAUUUGUAUGGCAAUGAAAUUCUGAAACUUAUAGUGUUAUAUUAAUUAUUUUAUAAUAUUUGUGUAAAUAUAAAAGCUUUUCACUUGGAGUAAACUAAAAAAUUUAACUUUACAAAGCCGAUGAAAUGACAAAAUUGCCACGUGAACUGGAGCGCAAGUACUAAUGAUAAUCAAACAAUCGGUAUCGAAGGCAAAAUUUAUUAUUGACAUCAGUUUGAGUAAUAUGUCAAACCAAAUUAGGACACUUACACAUUCAUUCCAUUACCAUUUUCAAGUUCCAUAUCUAGGCAUAUAUAGCUGCCCGUGUGGCUAAUGUUGUACAUUUUUCACAAAUGAACUCUUUUAUACACUCACUUCCAGAGGCGGAUGUAGUGUAUUAACUACGGGUUCAACUGAAUCCAUAACUUUCGACGCGGAGUAAAAAUUUAUAUGUAAAAAUUCAUUAAAAUUGCAAAAAUAAUAGAUAUGAACCCAUAACUUUAAUUUAAAAAUAUAAUGGGUUCAAUGUUAAAAACAUUAAAACUGAACUCAUAGAAUUUAAAUCCUGGAUCCGCCUCCGCUCACUUCCUUGUUGAAAAUCCAGCUAAACUUCACUUGACGCAGCUCCAAUUUCUUAGCUCUCUCAUCGGCUCUCUCUUGCAACCUUUUUAUCUUAGGUGGUAAUCCACACACAAAGUCUUGCGUUUCGCCUCAUCCUUAAUUCCUUCAAGCUUUUCCAAUGCCCAUCGAUCGAUCAAAAACUGCAAUAUAUCUGCAUAAUCAUGACUUGUAUACACUCCUAACCUUUGAGCCACAGCAGCAAAGUGCUCGAAUAGAUCUGUAUCACACCCAUCGUACAUUAGGUGGGCAGGCAUCGUAAUCCUCUUUUUCAUCAUUUUAGCAAUAGCUAGCAUGGAGUCAUUUGGGUCCAAUUCCAGCAAUUUCUCAACCAUCUUGACGUAGGCGUUUUCGUGCCGCUUUUCGUCCGCUGCUAUUGUUCCACAUAUGCGUGCUAAUAUUGGGUCGGCACCCUUGGCUAGACGAGCAGUAUUGCCAUGUGACACGAAUGUUGCUCUUUCUUGGAAUGAUGUGUACACAAACCCUAAGUAGGGGUUGUUCUCUGUUCCUACUGUUGCGGAAGCCAAAUGUAUAGAGUGUGAAUAAGUCACAACUACUAUACCAAAAAUUAUGACAGCCACCAAAUAAUAAAUAAGACAAUAAAGCAAUAAUAAAGGGAACACCAGAAUUUACGAGGUUCGGCUAAUUUUGCCUACUCCUCGGACACAACCAAUAUUUUAUUCCACUCCAAAAAUACAAGUGAAAUAAUACUAAAGAGAGAAGAUACAAAUGCCUUAAACAGAUGAGAAGGCAAAUGAGAGGUGUGUUUCAAUCCUAAACAUUAGGCCUUCUUUUAUAGGGGAAAAAUCCCCCCCAAACUUAACUCCCAACCAAUGUGGGACUUUGGCAUUUUGCCAAACUUCAACAAAUCUCCACCUUGGCAAAAUUCCACAUUUUCAAUUCUCUCUCAAUAACAAAUUUUGGUUGUGUCUUCAUCUUCAAUCUUCAGUGUUCAACAAUGUUGAUCAAAUCCAAAC
rnacentral:lncRNA from 1 species